rnacentral:lncRNA from 1 species
CAGUAAGAUGUGUUUGGUUCAAGUAUAAAAUGAUGGGAUUGGACAAUUUUAAGAUUAAAUAAUCCUAAUGCAAUGUUUGGUACCAAAAAUAAUUGUGGGAUAAAAAUAGUGGACCCCACCAUUUAAUCCAACACAAUGUCAAAAUUUUAUCACAAAGGGGGGUGUGGGAUAAGCUAAAACUUAAACGUAGGAUAACAAAAAAAAAGCCCAAAAUUUUAUACAACACAGUGAUUUUUUUUUUUUUUUGAGUAUGUCAUCAUCCAAUGAUAGUAUAUAUGCCAGAACACUCUUUUGACGUUAAUGAUAUGUAAUAUUUUCAUAUAUACAGCUAGUGACAUUGUUAUGUAAUUUCUUUUUCAUUUAUAGAUUUAUAUUAUUAUUAUAUUUGUUGAUGAUAUUCUUGUUAUGUUUAUAAUUAUAUUAUUUAGUAAUUUAUAAGUUUAAAAACUAUAACAUGUUAAAUAUAAGAAAAACUUUAAGCGAAGAUUUUGUAUUUUUUAACAAAUUUACCAAUAAUUUUUUAUUUAAGUUAGAUUAUAUUCCAUGUCAUUUUAAAAUAAAUCUAAGAUAAUUUUGAUAAAUUAAUAAAUAAGACAUAUUAUUAGUUACUAACCAAUUUCAUGGCAUACCAAACAUGAGAUAUGAUUAUUUACAGUCUAAUCCAACAUUGCACCAAACGUAAUAGAGUAUUAUAUAUAAUCCAAUGUUAUCAAAUCCAAUCAUAUCUUAUCCAAUCCGAUCCGAUCCAGUCUAAUCCAAUUUGACAUACCAAACAAGCCCUAAUUAUGUUAAAAACUACAUCAUUACCAAACUGACCCUUAAUACAAUCUCAUACAUACAUACAUAUAUAUAUAUAUAUUAAAAAUUAAAAAUUAUCUUUAUUUAGUUAGGAAAUAAAACCAUUAUAUUUAAAUAGAUUAAUAUUAUUACUAAUUAUAUUCAGAUAACAAAAUUAAUAAAAUAAAAAUAUUUGUUUGAUUUAUCAAUUAUUAUACACACAUAUUUAUAAAUGCAUGCGUAAAUAAAAUUUUAUAGAUUUAGGCCAAGGCGGAUGUACGGUACAGCAGUAUCUUUAUUUAGUUAGGAAAUAAAACCAUUAUAUUUAAAUAGAUUAAUAUUAUUACUAAUUAUAUUCAGAUAACAAAAUUAAUAAAAUAAAAAUAUUUGUUUGAUUUAUCAAUUAUUAUACACACAUAUUUAUAAAUGCAUGCGUAAAUAAAAUUUUAUAGAUUUAUGUCUAUUUAAAUCAUUUGCAUUCUUAUAACAUUUUAAAAAAAGAAAAGAAAAGUGAUUUACCAAAUACAUGUAAUUGUUCUUCAAACUUACAACACUUUUAAAAUAGAAUUUAAUAAAUGUUUAAUUAAUUUUUUCACAGCUGAUUAUUUUUAUGGUAUAACUAACAAUAAUCUAUAAACUUAUGGUAAAUAUUUGUGUGAAUGUUGGUCCAUGUAAAGAAGUAAAAACAACGCAUAUAUCAAGCAAUAAGAUAUCAAAACUCUUAGUAAAAUACAUAUACUAAUGAAAGAAUGACAGCAAUGCAAUAAAUAAGAUUAUAAUAUAAAUUAUUAAAAUUGUAUAUUAAAAAUUGAUGUAUGAAAUUCUUUUUAUUUUAGUGAUAGAUAAUGUGAUAUAUUUGAAUAAUUUGAUUAAAUGAAAAGAAAAAUAACAAGUAUGGUUGUGGAGGAAAUAAACCAUUGAACUGUGGAAUGUUAUUAAUUAUUGCUAUUUCAUUAUGUAACGUCCUGAUAAUAAGUACAGUGUUAUAGUAUAUUGAUGGGUGGUGAUAUUGUCACCCCUUAAAUUGUGUAAAGUCAACCUCAUUUACAAAUUUUUUGAUAUAAAUUAAAAAGUACAUUAGUUUUAAUAAAUUAUAUAUUUAUUGAAUAAACUAGAACCGUUAGGGAGCUGUAAUGUUAGCACUGUUUUAACUUAUUAUAAAAAAAAAAGUUAUGAUUUGAUCAUAACUCUAAUUUAGAAAAGAAAAAAGAGUUGAAUUGCUAACAUACUUAAAAAUAAAAUAAAAACAUUAUUAUUAGAUGAAAAAUUGUAAAACUUAAGGGGGCAUUUGCAAGUCCGCCACUACUCAAUAGAGCAUUAUUCAGUACUCGUUAAUAUAUCUCGAACUUUUAGGUUUUUUUAAUAUAUUUUUAAUACAUUUUCUAGAACAUUUAGAUAAAAAGAGUCAGUACUCCAAUUGAGUUGUGAAUAAACAUUUAGAUAAAAAGAGUCAAUACUCCAAUUGAGUUGUGAAUAAACUCAUGUUAAAAAAAAAAAAACUCAUUUUCACACUUGAAACGAUUAGUAAAUGGGUGAUACGAAUUUAACUUGGUCAAUAAUAUAUACCAUCUUAAGUUAACUUCAACUCAUUGAUCUUCUAUAGGGUUGAUCAGCCUGCCACAAGGCCCACAAAUUAUCACCUCUAAUGCUUUUGCAACAGUCGUUAUAAAUGCUGACAAAAUGAAACUUCUAUAUAUUUUGGUUUUUUUUUAUUUCUAUGAAAUAUAAGGCCCUUAUGGCAAAUUUCCAUCCAGCGUGAAAUUUGCUAGUUUGGCCUUGGUACUGUGGCACAUGCGUCAUGCAUGCGUGGCUGAGAUGCUUCUAAAACUAAUAAAUUAUGAAGAAUUCCAAAUUCGUACCAAAAAUAAGAGAAUAGGAGCUUGUCAUAGGUGUCCGCGGAUCGGAUUUUAUGGGUUAAACAUUAAUUCAUAUUUGAUUCGUGAUUUUGUAGAUUAUAAAUUUUUAAUUUAAUUCAAUUUAUGGAUUAGUGAAACUCAAUACAAAUUCAAUCCAUAUAUAUGCAAAUUAGAUGCGGAUUUAACCCAAUGCAUAUUCAAUCCAUCAUUUGGCGGAUUGAUUUGCAAAUUAAAAGUUUUUAAUUUUGUCCAAUCUAAAAAGUAAUUAAAUUAAAAAAAUCUAAUAUAUAAAUAAUUGAUUAAAUAAAAAAAUCUAAUGUAAAAAUAAUUUUACUACCAAUUAAAUUCAAAAUUGAACAAGAUUUAAAUAAAUUUAGAAUAAUACAUUCAAAAUUUUAAAAUAUAACACACCGAAAAAAAAAUUCAUUUAUUUAGAUCAAUACAUGAAAAUUAACUAAAAUUAUGAAUUUAAAUGUUGAAACUUGAAAGCUUGGAUGUAACAGGAAGAAUUUAAGAAACUUGAAGAGCUUGAAAAGAAAGUAAGAAAUUAAGUUUAAUUACCUCAAGUGGUGAAGUGAAACAGUGAUUGGCUUGUGCGUGCGGUGGGAUAGAGAUUUGGUGUUAUAUGUCAAAAUAUUUUGUUUGGCUUGGGGUUUUUGUUUUGCUUUAGAAAUUUUAAUGUUUAGGAAACUAUAUUUGCUUAUUUAAUUAUUUCUUAUUUUAUAUUGUUAUCGAAUAAAAUAUAAUAUUUUGUUAAUUUAGCUAUAAUUUUAUGCUGAAUAUAUUUAUUUAAAACGAUUUUAUUAAAUAAAUGUGCAUAUUUAACGAAGGUCUCUGAAAUUUCAACCUGCCUGCUAAUGAUAGCCAAUACGGCACGACCCACCAAAUGUCGGCCCACGCGGGCUUGUGGGCCAUGACGACUUUUUUUGUAAGGGCCCGGCACGGCCCACGGCACGAGUCCGUGCCCAAAAAAAGCCCACCUACCUUUUUUUUUUUUGUCCACAUGUUCAGCGUGCCUAAAAAAACCCACGUGCCUGACGUGCUUUUUUAAGCCCACCAGCCUAAUAGUAACAACAACAACAACAAUAAUAAUAAUUUCAUAGAAAUAAUUAAUGAAAAAUAAAAUAACAAUUCUAGAAUAACAAUUACAUCUAAUUUUAUUUGAACAACUAAUAUUAUAAUUGCACAUAAACUCUAUUGAAUGAAAAUGUAAUUUUUAAUUUAUUAUAAAAAUAUUUUGUUCAUAAUUUUAUUUUUUUGUGCGUAAAUAUGAAAAAUAUUUCAUUCACAAAUGAAACAUAUCUCCAUUAACUAUUAACUAAGUUAUGAUUUCAUAAAUGAAAUAUUAAUGUCGUAAAAUUUUUUAUUUAUCAUUUAUAAAAUCAUGAUAUUUAUUUAUCCAUUUAAUAAAUUAUAAACAUAAAAAAAUUAGAAUACUUAUUUAAACUAGGACUUAAAUUAAUUUUAAAAAGCCUAUACUAAAAAAAUAUAUUAAAAUUUUUAAUUUCAAGGUAUUUAUAAAAUCAUGAUAUUUUAUAUUUAUUUUUCAUUAAAAAAUUUUAUUUUGAUAUACUUUGGCCCACGUGCUAUUGGUGGCCCACGGGCCGCGUGCUUAGCCCACCAAUAAAGUGUGCUUAUUACAUGCCUUUUCGCGUGCCGUGUUUUGCCCCAUCUCUAAUCAUACCGUGCUUUUAAGGCCUGCGUGCCUAAAAUUCUAGGCCCGCCAGCCGUGCCGUGCCGUGCCGUGCCUCGUGCCGCCUGGCCCAUUGGCCAUCCCUACUGCCCGCCAACCACAUUUGUCCAAGAUCAAUUUGUAGGAAAAAAAUUUGAAAAUCAAUAAUUUAUUUAAUUAAUUGUUAAUGUAGGCAUUUGAAUCCCCACAAAAUCUGGGUGUCAGUUCUAGACUUCUGGUGAUAUAUUUUUCUAAUUAAGGAAUAAAAUAUUUUUGUCAUUUUUUUAAUAUUUUAAUUUACCAGGCAUAUCAACUAAUUAAUUUUUCUACUUAGACUAUUAAUUCAUUACGUGCGCAAUCUGUAGCCCGGCGCUCCAAUCCCAUGCAUGUUACACACAACUCAAUCAUUAUUUAUUUAUUUAUUUAUUUUGACCAACAACUCAAUGUUUUUUAUAGAGCUGUCAAAAUUUGACACGACCCGAUUACCCGACACGAACACGACAUAAAUAAAUGGGUAUGGGUCGUCAAAUUUAACACGAUUAUUAAAUGGGUCGGGUCCGGGUCAACACGAUUUUUUUCCGUGUCGGGUUUUGGGUUAAAAUUCUUGACCCAUUUACCCGAUCAAUGACCCGAUUAUAUUUUCUAUUUUAAAAUAAUUUACAUAUUCUUAUAAUUAAAACUCAAAUAUUAGAGAUGAUUUUCUUUUUUUUUAUUCUUUAAAAGGGUGAUAUAUUUUAUAAUAUCGAUAAAUUAUGUAUGUAUGUAUUUAUGUACAUACGUAUGUAUGAUAGUGUGGAAAUAUUUUAUGUAACUUUUGUUCAAUAUAUAGAUAUUAAACGGGUUAUUGGGUAACCCGAUUAUUUUUCCGUGUCGGGUUUGGGUCUCAAUAUUUUGACACGAUUAUUAAAUGGGUCGGGUUUGGGUCGACCUAAAUUUGACACGACACGAAACUGACACGACAUGAACACGACCCGAUGACCCGUUUUGCCAGCUCUAGUUUUUUAAUAUGAAAAGGUAUUGGUUAGCUUUGUCUUUAGUUUUUUCAACUUAUAAUAAGUUUGUAUUAAGGCUCCCUUUGGUACAGAUUUUCAAGUAAAACUUAUUUAGGGUUAUUUUUAGGGACCUCCCCUGAGGUUUGGUGUAUUAACAAUCUGAUAGAAAGUAUUCACGUAAUUACAAAGACCUCCCCUGACAUUUGUAUUAUGUUAAGUGGACUGUUAUUGACUAUUGAAAAUCCAAAAAUACCCUUCCUGCCAAAAUAUUUCUUUAUUCACUGAUGAACUGAUGGGUAAUUCGUGCCAAAAUCACAAAUUACUUAAGAAGAUGAAAAUAUCCAUUGGAUAAAAAAAAUGAAAUUGCUUAAUAAAAAAAUUGACAUUGCAUAAUAAUAAAAAAAAUUGAAAUAAUGUGCGGCGGCAUAGCUGCAUCUUGCAUGCAUAUUAUUAUUGUGAUUUUUUUAUUACAAACUCCAUCCUGCAUGCUUAUUAUUAUUGUGAUUUUUUUUAUUACAAACUACUUCAUAACUAAUACAUGCCACAAGAGCAGAGCUAUUAAAAGAAAUGAUUUUCAUAUUGUAAACUUGAUAGUACAGGUGUUGGCACCGACCAUAAAACCCUUAUGAUACCAAUCUUUGCUCCAUCCAUAUUUAAAUCCAGAUCAAGUAAAUAUUAAAUUGGAUUUCAGGUCCUGAAAAUCCCACUCUAUAAUUGAUAUCUUCGAGUUUUGUUGGUGCCUCAAACCUGGAUCUAGAGCAUCAUCUCUGUCAUACUCGGAACACCUAAACUAAUGGACUUGCUGCAGCUGCUUAUUCUUCUUCUGAAAUGAUGCACGCAGAUAGAUUACAGACUUUGAAAUAAGAAAUACAAUAAACAACAUGUAAUCGAACUUAAGAUUUCGGCAAACUUGUUUGAAAAUUAGAAUCAAACAAGGAAAAUGGCAAGUCAAUAUUUUUUAAUCUAGAAAAAGGGCAAUUUCAAAGUUUAUCACAUGCCAAAUUCAUAGUCUUGCAUCCACUAUUUUCUAGUUUGAAUAACAAACAAAAGCCUUAGACAAAAACACAGAGAACAUCUCACAUGGGAGCAAAAAUUGUGUGUAGAACAAUAUACUUAAGUUACAUGUGAUUACAAUCACAUUAUUUAGCAAAUACAAAAUUACCUUCUCAAAAAAAAAAAAAAAAAAAAAAACACCACCAAAUUAUUGAAGGUAUUACAACAAUAAGGCAAAAGAACACCAAAGGCAUGCACAAACCGAAACUAACACACAACUCAAUUAGUGUCAUGACCCCAAACUGAACAAUCAUAUAAACCAUUGUGGGCUCUCUAAAAGAUUAUCACAUUAUAAGCAAACAGAAACCUAUAUUUGAUGAACUACAUCUAGUACUUACACAACUCUUAAAUCAUUAGGAAAUUGCUCUUAUCAGUCAUUACCCAAUAGUUUUUUUCAACUCAACACUAACAACCCCAAAGAGAAACAACAUCCAGCACCAUUUUCAUUAAUUAAAACAGACCCAUUGUUAUUUUUAAUCAAUAAAAUAACAACAAUAUCGUGUAAGCCACUGAUUCAAGCAUUCAAGCUGUGUUUUCGAAGACUGACCUCUUCUUGCUAUCUAAUUCCAGUCACGAUAGACGCUAGAUGCCGGCAAUACUCGCUUCUUGGAAGCUCUGGACCACCGCACGACGUCAUCUUGUGCAGUAGAUGAAAAUAAAUCAAUGAUUUCAGAAAUUAUUUGUGAGUUGCAGACGCUUCUUCUCCAUGGAUGAAAAUGAUGGUGGGUUUUGUUCAAGUGUAAGCUGUGUUUACGAGGAGAAGUACACUUUGUGAAAAAAUCAUUUUCUUUCAUCUACUGGAUAAUGACUUUGGACUGGGUAAUGGUGUGUUUAAGUCUCUAUUUCACGGACAUUGAAGCAUAUUUUGCUUGAAUUUUGAUUUUGUUUAAAUUUCAAGUUUACUUUUACUUGUUUACCCUUUUAUACUGACGCUUAUGUAUUUUUAUACUAACGUUAAGGGAGGUCUUUGUAAUUAUAUGAAUACUUUCUAUCAGACUGUUAAUACAACAAACCUCAGGGGAGGUCCCUAAAAAUAACCCAACUUAUUUAAAUAGAACUUUUACAAAAAAAAAUUUAGUUAUUUGGUUGUCAAUAAACUUUUCAAGUAUACUUUGUUUGGUACAGCUUUUCAAGUAAAACUUAUUUAAGUAGAGCUUUUACAAAAAAAAAAAAAUUAGUUGUUUGGUUGUCAAUAAAAAUUUUUAUUAAAAAAAAUAUGAAAUUACUUUAUUAGUCAAGUUUUUUUAAAGUUAUGCUAUGAAAAGAAUAAAAUAAGAUUGUCAAAUAAAUAGAAAAUAUUUUAAAUAUUUUAACAUUUAAAAAAACUUUUUAACCUUUAUUUUCAAAAAUCUAAAAUUUAAACUUUUACUAGUAAAGGCAAAAUAAUUUAUUUAAACUUCAAAAGCUUUAUUAGAAAAAUAAUCAAACAAUAACAAAAAUUAUUAUAAAAGCUUAUCGAAUUAAAUAAGUACUUAUAGUUAUUAAAGAAGUUAUAUCUAACAGACACUAAUGCCGAAAGCCCCUUCUAAUUGUGGGUGUAAAAGUUUGAAUUAUGCAUACGGUUAAGGAGUUAAGGUGUGUUUGGCAACUGCAUUAAGUGGAAAUUUUUAUUUUGUUUCGAAUAAAAAUACAGCAAGCUCGUGUUCGGCUCAAAAUAAUGGAACGUUUAAUUUGCAACCGUCGGCGGACGAAGCACACCGUUCACGGCCCUUCGUAUAAAAUUGCAUAUGUAAACGUAAAUAGGUCCGGAUUCAGAUUCGUUGCUGUAGAGAGUGGCACGCACGAUCGGGCUGCUGUCGGUGGUAGGUUGGCAUUGGAAUUCUCAUCACGCGCUUCCCCAGGCGCCUACUUAUGGCAAAUUGACACGUGACGCGUGUGGAUUGAAUGGACAGAGUCCCGGGCAGUGUGUCCAAAGCUGCCAACCGUGCUCUGAUUUUUGUCAUCCAUAAUGGCUAACGACUAACGAGGGAGAUUUCCGGGCAGAAAGAAAUUGUUGUCGUUUCUGAAGGGGAAAAAAAAGUUAUUUAAUUUGUUGUUGAAGACAAAAUGAAGAUCUAAAUAAAUAAUGGCUAAUUUUGAGUGUAAAGCAACGGUAAAUGCAUUAUUAAAUUAGAUUUAGGGUCUGAUUGAGAUUAUUUUUAGAUUUAAAAUUAAUUUUGAAAAGUUAAAAUUAAUUUUGAUGUUUAUUAAUUUUUAUUAAAAAUUAUUUUUGUCAAAAUCUCUCAUCCUCCAGCAUAUUAUAAAAAAUAAGGAAGAAAUAAUUUUUUAAAAUUUAAUUUUAAGAAUCAGUUUUAUACUUAAUAUAAUCCACAUAUAUCCUCGUAAAUAUUAUAAAAAUUUAAAAUUAUUCUUAUUUAUUUAGGAUAUAAAAUUAUUAAAUUCAAACAUAUUAUUAUUAUUAUUAUUAUUGUUAUUAUUAUUAUUAUUAUUAUAAAUUCACACACGCACACACAUACUUAUAAAUUUAUAAAUAAACUUUAUUUAACAUUUUGUUCACUUAAAUCAUUUAUAUUCUUAUAGCAGUUUAACAUUAUGAUUUACCAAACACAGAUAAUUAUUUUUAAAAUCCAUAAUAUUUUUUAAAAUAAAUUUUAAUAAAUGUUUAACUUAUUAUUCUGACAACUGAUUUUUUUUGUAAGGUAUAACCAUUAAUAAUAAAUAUUUUAAAAGUUACAGUAUCCCCAAAUUGGCCCUUACUAAUACUCUGCGUUGCCAACUAAAUACUAAUUGUAACAUUAAACAUCUGGAAUAUUUUUCUCUAACGAAACAACACAAUUAAUUUCCCUCUAAAAAAGAAAAAGAAAAAGAAAAAAUAAACUACCAACCCCACCCCUUUAGACAGCAGAGUUUUAGCUGAGGCGGCUUGCUUGCAUAAGCAUUAAGGCUGCUCUUCACCAACCAUUGAACAUUCUUUCCAUUUGAUUGUUACACUUUACUUCGCCAUCUCAUGUCCAUGUACAUUGUUUUGAAAUGAAGACUUUGCGUACAACUAAUCUUUUUCAAUUCAUAAUAAAAACUCUUUUAAUUAGUUAAUAGCUAUAGCUUCCAAUUGAGACUAUAUAUAAAAAUCCAUAUUGACUGACCAAACCAAUAAUUUUUAAUUGGCUUGAGCAUUGUCUUACUUACUUCAAAAUCGUCACUCUCUUUGAAAAGAACAUGAGAGAGUUCACCUCCAUCUCAACCCUUAACCCUAUAUCUCAGUCAAGAGAUUAUUCAUGGAAAAUUCAGAAAAAAGAAAUGUUGCAAUAUUUACGAAACUCACGUCACGUGAGGUAAGAUAAAUUAUUCCUUUCUGCUUUAAUUCAUGUACAUAAUCAUGAGAAUAACUUUAAUUAUAGUUUAUUUCUCCGUUUUAAGAUUUUUCCUUUUUUUUUUUUAAUUAAUUAAUUAUAGUUCAUUCAUUAAUCCCAUAAGAAAUUAACACCUUUGCCGGUAAAGUCACACAUACAACAAUAUUUUAGAACAAAAGGGAAGAUCAUGCACGAUCAUGAUGUUUUAUUAUAUCUCUAGCAAUAUAAUUAUCUUAUAAUUAAUUAAAAACAAAACAGGUAAUUAAGCCAAAGUGGAUGGCAUGCAUCAAUCAUCAUGCAGAACACCUCCCCUUGUUUUAAAUAUAAAUAAAAGAAAUUUGUGCCCAGAAGACUUAAUUAAUACUUCUCGUUUCUGAAGUGCUCACAUGAUAUAUAGUCGGACGCAUUAUAUUUAAUUUCAUGAAUUAAUCGUACGGUUGUAUUUUGAGAGAGAGAGAGAGAGAGAGAGUGACUGAGUAAGAUAUGGCUUAAUUUAACCAAAUCUACGUAUAAAAUUUUAAAAUGAAUUUUUGAGUUUUAACUUAGGAAUUGUCUAUGAAUAAAAGUGUUAAUCAAAUAUUUCGUGUAAAAACAGUCAGCUGUAACAUUUUCGGUUGCUUUAACAAAACUGUAUAUUUCUGUAAUUUCCUAUAUGGGCCAAAAGGAACAUUUUUCUCAGAAAUUAAAAACUUAUGGUGAAAAAGAUAAGAAAACCAACAGGUUCAAAGGUGCGAGUAAACUGGGCUCUGGUGCGCCCAACUCCCUCUUUUGAUUUUGAGACUCUAUUGACCAUUGAGUUUGAGGCCCCAACGGCCCAGUUUAAAACUGUUAUGAAAAGAAAAAAAAUAUAACUAUAAAAUUAAAAUUAAUAAUGUUUGAUAAAUAUAAUUUUUAAAUAAUAAUUUGACAAAAAUAAUAUAGGGUCUUGUGUAUAUUUUUAUUUGGCAUUUCAAUUAAUCUGCUUAUAUAUAUAUAUAUAUAAGUUAAUCUAUAUUUCUUGCAAGAAGAUAGUAUUUCUUUAAUUAAAGUCAUAACUAAUAUAUAAAUUAUCAACUAACCAUCAAACAUUUAUCUCAUUUUAUCUCCACCACGAUCAUCACCAUUCAUCCUGUCACGAUCUUUAUGUAACUACAAUUAUUUUUUCUUUAAUAAUGUCAACCCACCAACCCCAUAACAAUAUCUCCAAACAUCUCAUCUCAAAAUUCCUAAUAACAUAAGUGUUUAUGUAUGAAAGAAAAUGUGAAAUAUAUAAUCAAAAAGUAGUUUAAUAAUAUAAUGUUUAAAAAUUAUGGUAAAAAUAAGUGAGAGUUUGGCAUGGCAAGUUAAUAAAAAGAUAAAAGCUCGGACACUUGAUGCAUCAAAGUAGCAAUGUCUGUCCAUCAUUAUCAUCAUGCGGGUUUAGGUGCUUCUCAUGAUAGCAUUAGCUGGUAAGACCAUCAUGCAUCGUACUUUCAUUGUUAUACAUUUUGAAGGUAAGAAUGGUUAUGUUACGUCCCUCCGAUUAGGUGUAUUUUUCUUCUUCUUCUUCUUCUUUUUCUUCUUCUUGUACGUAAUAAUUUCUCUUUCUUCCAUGAAGAUUUCUUUCUCUCUUUCUUUUUUUUUUUUUUAUUAUAAAUAAAAUGAUAAGAACUAAUUUCCUUACUAAUUGGUAGGGUCGUUUAAUGGUUCAGAUCCAUUAGAUUUUGUCAAAUUCAAGUCCAAUCCAUCAUAUAUUCCAUUUUAUAUUCCGGAUCCGAUCACUAAUAGAAAUCCAUUAUAAUUUAAAACAAUAAAACGUCGAAUCCAAUUUAAUUCGAUAUGAUCAAUCCAAUUAAAAUAAAAAUUUACAAAUAAAAAUCAUUAGUUGCUCUCUCCAGUUAUAAUUCUUAACAAUUAAAAAAAAUACAAAAUAUCAACUCCUUUAAUAUUUCAUGAUUCAUGUACUUUAUUAUCAUAUGGUUGGAAAAAAAAGUUGAAAUUUGAAUAUUAAAAGCAAAUGUUGGUUGCGACCUGCUGUUUGUAUUCUAUAUUGUUAUAGUAUAUUUAUAGUUAUUUUUUUAGCAAGUUAAAUAUAAAAGUGACAUAUAGUUUUUUUUUAUAAAAAAAAAUAAAUAAAGAAAAUAAAAAAUUAAUUGGUUGGAUUGGUUUAUAUUGGAUUUGAACAUAUAGAUCCAUAGACCAAUCUAAUAACAUUAUAUUUUUUAUUUUGCAAUCUUAUCCAAUCCAAUCAAAAUGUCAAUAUGACAAAAGUUGGAUUGGUUUUGAUCAGAUCGAUUGGUUUGAUUGGAUUGAAUUGAAUUAGAUCUUGAACAUCCUACCAAUUAGACUUUCCGUGAUUUUUUUUUUUCCAAAUUUAAUAAAGAGACUUCCCAUGAAUGUUAAAUGCAGUUUUAUUGAUGAAUUCUGCAAUUUUAAGAAAUGUUUGAUACACGAAUAAUGCAUCUCAUCAACCAAGUAACUGCGUCCCCUGCAGCAGCCGCGGCUUCAACUGGAAUACUGCAGCCACACCGGUCUUGAGACUCAACAUUCGGCCGAAACUCAAGCAAAAGUUGAACAAUAUCAGGCCUGCUUUGAGCUAUAGCAAUAUGAAGCAAUGUUUGUCCCUGCGCACCAGCAGAAUCAGCUGGGUGGGUUCCAAGCAGGGUCACUCUGUUCAAGAACCUCUCUUAUCUCAUCCAUUUCACCAUCCUUAACUAGCUGAACCACAACAUGGGACCCAACAAACAUGAUCUUGAUUCCUAUUGAUGAACGCUGGCUUCUUCCUUCUUGUGAACCAGUCACCAGGAACCGAAUCAAGCAUCAAUGUUGCAUCUUUAAUUGCAGCUGCAGGAACGACAACGCUAUGCAAGAGGAAGGAAUCAUCACAGUGAGGGAAAGUAUGAAGGAGAACUGAUCCUGGAGGAAGAUGAUACGCAAUCUCUAUGCUUACUGUUCCGAGUGGUUGCAUUGACCUGAAUAGUUCGAUCUAUUUCUCGUGUAUCUACUUGCGCUGCACUUUCACUCGAAGAACCUACAAAAUUAUUCAUAACCCGGCAUAAAAAAGACGUAAAGUUUUCAGCGCGAGCAUGGUAACUUCAAAACCCGUUUCAUACCUAUCAUAUUUCAUUCGUCCCGCACCCUCAUUUAAAAGACUAGAGCUUAUAAAAACUAGAAGUACCUUACCCAGAACAUAAAAGCAGACAAAACCCAGUCGAGUAUAAAUAUAACGUUGAAUAACACCUACCAUUUACCAUUUCAUUCAAGAACACCACACAAUUAACGAAACCAACAUCGGUAUGUUUUCAGCCGUUGUACUUUCAACUUAAUUUUGAAAGCGCGGCAGCUAAAGCCUAAACUGUUGUUUGAUAAAAGUCCACCCACUGACUGCUACCUGGCGGCUACCGAUUCCAUUCAAUAGCAGUCAUAAAAUAAAAAGUACAAAACAAACCUAUGUACAAAAAAGGCAAUGAAGCAGCCAUGGAUUCAGUUAUUUGCAUGUUUGGGAUUGUGGUUGAUUCCAAAUUGAGAAUAUACUGCGAAAUUAUGUUUGAUAAGCAUUUAUCUGAUGAUUGCUACUUUAUUGAGUGCCUGUUUGGUAUGGCUUAUUUAAAAGCCAUAAGUGCUUAUUUAAUCGUAUAAGCACUUUUUUAAAAUUUUUAUGGUGUUUGGUUAUUUUUUUAGUAGAGUUUUUUUAGCUUAAAUAAGCUAAUUUACCUCUACUAGCAAAAGCCCAAAAUUUGAGCUUUUGGGAGUAGAGGUUAAAGAGCUUAUCUAAAAAAUAUAUAAUAAAAAAAAUAUCAUACAGUUUAAUGAUUCAAAAGUGUUUUUUUUAUUGACAACCAAACACCCAAUGACUUUUUGUCCAAAAACUCUAUUGGUAUAAGCUCUACUGCUAUAAGCUCUAUUGUUAUAAGCUCUAUUUAAUAAGCUGUACCAAACGGAGCCUAAAGCAUUCAUUUUUUUUUUUCGCGUUUGGCCUCUUCACUUUUUAAAAAAUUUUAUGGUGUUUGGUUAUUUUUUUAGUAGAGUUUUUUUAGCUUAAAUAAGCUAAUUUACCUCUACUAGCAAAAGCCCAAAAUUUGAGCUUUUGGGAGUAGAGGUUAAAGAGCUUAUCUAAAAAAUAUAUAAUAAAAAAAAUAUCAUACAGUUUAAUGAUUCAAAAGUGUUUUUUUUAUUGACAACCAAACACCCAAUGACUUUUUGUCCAAAAACUCUAUUGGUAUAAGCUCUAUUGUUAUAAGCUCUAUUUAAUAAGCUGUACCAAACGGAGCCUGAGUCUUCAAAGAAAAACUCAAUCAACUAAUGCUCGAUUUUUUUUUUUAAAUGACAAAUCAAAAAGUAUUUUGGAGUAGAUUCUCAAAAGAGUGAUUAUUUGAUAAUCCACCAUAAUCCCACUUAGUUAUCAGAAAUAAAUUAAAAUCCGACGAAUGUUACUUAAGCCAAACAGCAUUAUUUUAUUUUGACCACAAGGACCACAACCCUCAAGCUGUCAAGCAACCGUUACCGUUAACGACCAAUCUUUCACCUCUCCGAAUCUUUGCAAGUCACUAUCAAGCAACCGUUACUAAUAUUUAAUCAAUUAUUAGGAUUAUUGGAUUUCUCAAAUACCUUAUGUACUUUGGUUCACUUUCUACUAAAAUAAAUAUUACAGGAGCUUUCAAAGUCUAGGCUAAGGUUGUUGUAAACAUAGAGAGAUUCAGAGAUAUAACAGCUUGUAAUUACAUACCACAAAGCAUAACUUUGUUCGAAUGAUAAUGAUCAUAAUCCAGAUUAUAGACGUAGAGAGAGGAGAAGUCGUACUUGAGGGGCAAAACGCGGCGUUUUGGCUCGUGGAUGAGGUGCUGCUCCUGAUCGUCGUAGAUUGAAGGGAGGAGAGGUCGGUCGAGGAAGUUUAGGAGACGGUGGAGGCUGAAUUGGUGAAUUUCGAUGAAGACUGACGAAUCCAAUGGGGCUUGAGGGUUUGAUUUGCAAAGAUGAAAGAUAAGAGCAUUGUUUUGGUUUCUGUGCAAAAAAAAAAAAAAAAAACAUGACAAGCGUUGUUUUGGUUUUGGUUCUAAAAAGAUGAAAAUUUGACUGCAAUGGAUCCAUACGCAGUCGGUGUCAAAUAAGAGGAGAAACAAAUAUGUUAAUCACUCGCUCAAUCACUCAUGCGAAGUGCCUUUUUUUUCGUUGCUUUGGCUUCUGAGAAAUAUAUGCAUCAGAUAUUACAACUCUCGAGGAUAAUGCAUUUUGUUCCGGUUUUGACUGAUAUUUAGUGGCAUUUGAUAAACUGAUACCUCAGAACCUGGUAGAGAGUUUAUUAAAUACAAAGAGAACAAAAAUAUAUGACUAUAUAAGCUUUUACACGGUUGAAGAUCCGGUCAAAUUGGCUUUAGUUAGCAAGAUCAUUUAAAACUUUCAAAAAACGAAUGGUAUCAAAAAGCUCUGAGAAAAAGCGGAAAAAAGGCACCACAAAGAUCUUGCAAUUAUUAUCACAGCUUGAUAAGACAUGGAAAUGUAUCUUACAAAUUGGCCUUCCAAGCAUCAAAGAAUUGGGUGGCGACAACUCCCAUUCCUAGCUGCUACCGUGGCCAGUCCCUUCUAACUAAAAUGGGACAGGACCAAAAGCAAGGUCUCUCCCACUCUCCUUAUGUAUAUAAAAUUCCCUACAUUCGAAUAAAACUACAGAAAAAGAUUUGCACAUCAUCUUCUUUCACCUUAUUUUGCAAUCUUCAAGAGUUUGGAAGAUUUCAAAGCACUUGUUAGAAUGUAGCACUCCAUUAAGCAUUCUCACCUUCCCCACACCCCAAUGGACCUCCUUAAUCCUAUCGGCAGACCUACAAAUUCUGCUGCAACUCCAAUCAAAUAAAGCAACACAAUUGUUGCCUGCCUAAGCCUUCCACUCACAGCCUGCAAUGACAAGUUCAUGAUACAAAAUCAGAAACAUUAAUAAACAAAAAGAUAUUACCAUUACUUGCAGAGGGGGAUUUGUUGCAAUUAGUAAAUGCCAUACUUAUCACUUUCAUUGCAGAUAUCAUCAUCAUCAUAAUACUAGCAAUCCAGCACUAAUAGUCAGAAUAAUAAUAAUAGUAGCAUGAAUAAAGAAUUUCUGCAGAGUAAGCUCUAAAGAUGCCGAAAGUGUCAUCUAUUAUGUUAAUAAUAAAAAAGUCUAUCAAGAAUUCAAGGAAAGAAAACUCAUUAACAAAGAACUAAACUUUUUAAUAAUGUUUAAUAAACUACGUACCUAUGAUUUUCUAUUAUUAACAUAAAUGACACUACGUACAACUGAUUUUCGCUUUCUAAUGUUUCAAAUCAUACCGAGAAAUAUAACAAUUACCAAGUCAGUAAGUAGCACAAUUACUUAAUAAGACUUUGACUUGUCUAACCCAAAAUUGUACCCAAUUCUAUACUCUACCAUGAAAAGCUUAUGAAGCCGAACUUACUUUGACCAAACAGUACUAUUAGCUCAGUUAAAGGAAACCACAAUUGAACAAAGUUCAGCUGAAAUAACUGAACUAAAAAAACUUGAUAAAAUUAAAAGUAACUUAUAACAGUUUAGUAAAGAAGCAUACAAAACAUGAAGAUAAAUAAACAUAGGUCUAUUUUCUUGACACUACCAGGUCCUUUCCUUUUUUUUUUUUCAGAUAAGAUCUCGAUACUACCAAGUUUUGGAUUCAAAAUCACCAUAUUACAAUAAUAGUUGUGAUUCAUGGGAUACAAUAUGUAGCAGCUUAUAUGUCGGCAAUUAUAGUCAAAGAUGGUUGUCAAACAUCAUCGCAAAUCAAGAAGCUAAUAAAGACCAUGUCACACUACAUUAACAUAUAUCAGUUCUUUGAUACAAAGAUAUUGAAUGUUAUACAUUUCUAAUCCCAAGUCCUGAAAUACAAAACAAAAGUUCACUUCACACAGUCAUAAAGCUAGACUGCUAGAUAAAUGGACAAUAGGCAUUGGAUAUGGGUCAAUAAACUAUUAAGCUAAUUAAUGCACACGAAGGAAUCCGUUAGAGCUAGUAAAAUAGCCCUUACCAGAGAACUCGCAGAAGCAUUCAAUUUCCUCAAAGGAGAUAACUUACAACAUAAACAUUUUGAUAAGCAGCAACACACAUAAAAUAGCUUCACUCACUAGCAACAGAGCAACUUCUUCAACACAUUAAUAAAUCCAUUUUCAUUUUUAAACAACAAAAUAAUGCCCAGUUUCUCCAGCACAAAUAGGGUAAGCAGUAAUAGAAAAACAUGAUACAUAGGAAUUACCGGCCUCAAGAAAUCUCCAAGCUUUCUGUCCUCUGCUUCAAUUGCUCAAUCAAGAAUGCCCCAGACGUUGCGCUAGCGUGGUGGUGGAGCGUCGCGAAGCGUGUGGCGGCGGUGUCGGCGAAGGCAGGUCAUGAAGAUAGUUGGUGUCGCGCAGCGAAGGCAGUGCAGCUGGUGUCAUGCGGCGAAGGCAAAUCGCGUGGUGGUGGAGUUGGGGUCGCGCGGCAGUGGCGGUGCGGUGCUGAGGCAUAAUAGUGGCGGUGGCGUUGUGCGACAGUGGCAGUGUGGAGGCAGAUUGCGUGGAGCUGGCGGUGUUGAGGCAGAUCGCGUGGAGGCAGAUGCCGCGGUGGUGGAGUUGCUGUCGCGAUCAACGCCUGUGAAAGGGAAUGAAAGUGAAGGAGAUACCUACAAAAGAAAGAACGAGUGAAAUUUUUUUUUUUGUUCAAGGGUUUCAAACCCACAUAAACCCGACUCUCACACGGGUUCAGUAAGUUUAUGCGGGUUUGACUGCAUUACAAAUUGGUAUGACCACAACAACAGUACAAUGAUUGGUAAUUACCAAACAUGCUAUUUAUGUUGGUAUUAAAUUAAUUUAAUACAAUGAGGAGUGGUAAUAUCAUACAAUGAGGACUGUUAAAUAUGGUGUGUUUAAUAUGUUGUAUUGUAUUAUAUUAUUUUAAUACAAAUAUAUUAUAUUAUCUUGUAUUAUAAUAUAAAAUAAUGAAAAAUAUCGAAUUUCAAUAUAUAAAAAAAAAAUAAAUAUAUUUUGUUAUAUUCGAUCUGCUGUACGGCCAAGGCGGAUGUACGGUACAGCAGAUAAGAAUUUAAAUACAUACACUUAUAAUACAACUUAGUUUUUCCACAUUGUCGAGGGAUCAAAACAACCCAUCAUUGGAGUCCAAUAAGUUAUGUGGCGACACAAAAAAGUAAUUCUAUAUUUUUUACGUCAUAAAUAUGUAAAAAAAAUUGUAUUAUAUCUUAUUAUUAUUAGUUUUUUUUCUUCAGUUUUGACAAGUAUAGUUUUCUUGUUGAGUGGCUCAACAAGGCUGGUUACAAUUUCGAAAUAAUGUUCCAUCUGUAUCUGUUUUCCUUUUGUUUUUGAUUUUGUAGUAUAGUUAAUUUGUACGAAUUUGUUGCCUGGUUGGUUUUUAUGCUGAAAAGUCAGUUCAUUGGAAAUGACAGAAAAUUGUUUUUCUUUUUCAUUUUUACAGAAAGAGAUUUGCAACGUUAUAAAAGUAAGAGAUCCUAAGAGAUCCCUGAAUCAUAUUAAAUAUUAAACUUAAGAUACAGUCAAGGCUUUUAUUAUGUUACUAAUCAUGUAACGAAUAUAAUUAUGUAGCAGUCGUUAAAUACAAAUUUAACAGUUAUAAAAAUAACAUGAUUUUAUUAUCUUAUAUUUCUAUAAUCGUUGAAUUUUUAUCUGCUGUACCGUACAUCCGCCUUGGCCGUACAGCAGUAUUGAAUUUUAAAAAUUUAAUAUUAUUUUUUUAAUAUAAAUAUUAAAAAAUAUCAUAAUUCUUCAUAGAAAUCGAAGUUCAUGGCAUUAAAUUUUUAACGCCGCAUACAUAAUAAAAAAUUUGAUUCUCUAGUGCCAAUAUAAUAGAAUACAUAAAAACGAGACUGAGAAACUACGAAUAAAGCUCAUCAUCAAGGACUCCACAACAUUAUAAGAAGUACUAUGUAACAUUUGCCAAAUUACAACACCACAUCAAGACAUAUCACAAUGUAAAAUUUUUCCUAGAGAUUUGGUAAUUGAAAAACACAAUUCAAGUUGAAAACUGAUAGUCGACUUGAAAAGUUUUAACAUAUCCCAUAAAAGAAAUGUGCCAUGCCAAAAAUCCUAACCCUUGGCUCUUUGACGAUAAGAAAAUAUUGAAAAUUCCAAAGUACAGUGCAAUGGGAGAAAGAAUGCCUAUAAAGCUAGUAAAGAUAUUCUUAAACUACUAUUGGGAUGUUGGGCUGGUUGGUAGCAAAACCCAAACCCUGCUGCUGAUUUCCGAUACCACCAUCUUGGAUAAGCCGCUCUCCCUCCUCUUCCUAACUCCUAAGCCCAAUAUCUUUCCAAAACCUUCACAACCCACUCAUAAAUCUCAUUGUUGUCGUGGAUAUGCAAAUUCUCAAUCUUUUCUACUCCAUCACACUCAUCAAUCAUUUGGGUAUAAACAUUAACCCAAUUAUCCAUUCCUAUUUCCUUGUUAACCUCACCCACCUUGAAAAUGUUCUCAAGACCCUAUAGACAAACUGUGACGAUCCUUUGGUCCAGACAAACCAGAAGAUCACAGAGCGGUUUGAUGCAACCUUGGCUCACCAGGAAUCUGCAGGACCAUGGUACCAUAAGUGAUUCUAUCACAUGAACAUCAUUAGAUUAAAAAAAGAAAAAAAAAAGAAACAUCUAUCGUAUGAACAUUGCUGAGUGAAUAAAAGAAACAUACUGAAUAUGUUCAUGAGAUCCUCCAUAUGUGGCAUUUAAGACAGGCCAUGCAGCCUCCUUGAUUUCAAGUUCUGCAUGUUGAAGAAGAGGUGCACAAAAGGAAGGAUAAGGAAGGAUGAUAUUGGCCUCCAUAACAGCCUGUUGAACAAAAAUUCGACAAAUUAUAAUUAUGAGUAUAUUUAAGUAGCAAUUUUGUCAGAAUUAACUAGACUUGACUAUUGAGGAAGUCACAUUCAAAAAUAGAAAAGACGAGCAAGCAAUUGUAUUCAUGCUAUCGGGACCAAAAUACUAUGAUGCAAGCAAGAAAGAAAAACAUACAUACAUAUAAAACACUAUCUUUGAGUUGGGUAUUUUCUUUCAAUUUUGAUAAUGGCAACUUUGGAUUCUUCUGCUGAAUUACCACCACCACCACACCAUUGUAGUUUCACAUACUAAGAAAAGGCAGGUUCAGCUCCCGUGCAUGCCCAUAAGAAUAUGAUGUAUUAAUUAGAAGUAAAAUUAAUCUGUUCAAUUAAGUUCUCUCAUAUAUUUGUGUGCGUGUGUGUGUUAAUUAGUUUGCUUUCAAAUCUUUUCUCCCUUCUUAAUGAUAUAUAUUUUAAGCAUGAUAUCAACCACGAUGAAUUUAUUAGCCGAUUUUUAAUUAUACAUUCAGCAUGAUAUCACAAACCAAGAGCUUAAGUUAGCCUAAUUCUUCAUAAAUCUAAUAAUUGCAAUCAAUAAUAAUGCUGAAAAUACGAGUUUGAAUUAAGCUAGCAACUGGUUCUUAAAUUAUGCAAUAUGUAAUCAUAGGUUUACUUAAAGAUUAAAGCAUUUCUGCAAUCCAUUGUGCAAAAAGAUUAAAAAAAAAAAAAAUAGUUGCCAAAUUUUAUCUAAAUAAAAAUUCCUUUAGUGGUUAGUACUUGUGAAUUAUAGAAAUUAUUAUUAGUACUUGCUCAGCGCUUUUUAGAUUUGUACAGGUAGAUUACGCCAUUUCAAACCCGACCAUCCAUUUAGACAUACAAAUCCCCCCAAUUCCCUGUCCUCCGCCUUUACGCGACUCUCCACUGUAUGUGCCAACUAAUUAAUUUUUUAAUUACUUGUUUAACUAAUUAAUUCAUUUUCUCAAAAGCAAGAUUAAUCUAUUUGUUCAAAUCUGAAGGAGAUUAAGUUAAUUGAUUUUAUUGUAUGUAAAAAUAUACAAAGAACUCAUGAAGCCAACUAGAAAAAAAAAAAAAGACAAAAAAAAAAUCAAACCCAGAAAUAAAAAGACAUGCUUCGACAGAAAAUUAAUGAAAAUUAUACUGAUUGUGGUUCAAUUUGAUCAAACCCAAAUAAUAACCGGUUUGAUUGAUGACUCAGCGGCAAAGUGCAGGCGCAUCAGUGGUUGCACAGAUGAGUGUUCUCGUGCGGCACGACAAAGCAAUUGUCGGCGAUUGUGAUUGGUGAUGACAUCGAGCGAUGGGGGUAAUGGCAUCGGUCGUGACUUUGUGAUGGAGAAACGAAUGUUAGAUUCGUUCGAAGAUUCGUGUUUUGAUUGAAUAACAAAGAGAGAUUUUAUGAGUUUUAAUUAUCUAAUACGAUACCGCAUAAACCCGACUCGUACGUGGGUUUAUUUUAUGCGGGUUUCGGUGUACUAAAGCAGUAAAUUUAUGUGGUGCAAUUCAAACUGAUUUCACCGCCAAAAGAUCGUGUAAAUUUAAUAUUAUACAGGGUUUUAAUACUAUGUAAUCCAAUACACCAAACAUGCCCUUAAAAACGGAUAGCAAUCCGGGGCCUUUAAAAACGGAAAAUACAAGCAGAGAAAAAGAAAAGCCAAUUGUUCAAAAGUGCCUAAUAUGCCCACGGAAAAUUUUCGUCACGACCCACAGUUACUCGAAUAGGUAAUAAGACAGGAAUGCCUUUGUUUGUUCGAAUAUAGAAGCACAAUGGCUCAGAAAGGAUCCCUCCAAUCUCCUUGGCACUGUCAGCUGGGUGCGGAGUAGCUUGGUGGCAGCAACCAUGUUUGAGAGGGCUGGCUUCACCUCAGUGUACUUGCGAGUCUUGAGACCACAGUCAGGGUUAACCCACAAAAUGUUGGUUUCUAGCACAGUACGCAUCUCGUAGAUUCUGUCAACAAUUUCUUCGGUUGAUGGUAUUCUUGGAGAGUGGAUGUCAUAGACGCCAGGGCCAAUUGCAGCAUCAUACUGGACUCCCUCACGGAAGACUGACAGGAGAUUCUCAUUAGAACGAGAGUUCUCAAUGGUGAUCACAUCAGCAUCCAUGUCGAUAAUUGAGUGGAUAAUGUCGUUGAAGUUGGAGUAGCACAUGUGGGUGUGGAUCUGUCAAUCAAUAAACAAUAGAAUGAGAUACAAAAUCAACAGCUAAAUUAAAGAGAUGAGAUUGGAGAUUAAAAGGGUAACUGACCUGGGUAGUGUCCUGGAUGCCACAGUUGGUGAUUCUGAAGGAGUGGACUGCCCAGUCCAAGUAGAAAGCAUGCUCAGAUUUCCUGAGAGGCAAUCCUUCCCUCAAGGCAGCCUCAUCAAUUUGAAUAACGUUAAUGCCUGCCUUCUCAAGAUCCUCGACUUCGUCCUUGAUGGCCAAAGCAAUCUGGUAGCAGGUUUCAUGUCUGCAAAAUUGGCAGCGAUUGAUGUUAAACAAUGUUUCCAUUCCAAAAGGUUAACCAAUAGUGAACCAGUUCUCAUUUAUAUACCUGGGCUGGUCAUUUCUGACAAAGGACCAGUUGAGAAUGGUGACAGGGCCAGUAAGCAUUCCCUUCAUUGGGCGAGCAGUCAUGCUCUGAGCCCAGGAGGACCAGAAGACGGUCAUAGCCUUGGGACGGCUCACAUCACCAUAGAUGAUGGGUGGCUUCACACAGCGAGAUCCAUAGGAUUGCACCCACCCAUUGGCAGUGAAGGCGAAACCUGAUAACUGCUCUCCAAAGUACUCAACCAUGUCGUUUCUCUACAAAAACAAAUGUCCGAAUUCAAUUUGAGAUCCAGCAUACUUCGUAUGCAAUUAGAAAUGCAGAAACAAAAAUGUAUAAAAUUUUAUGUAAUUCAAAACCAGGAGACAUUGCUUUGCUUCCAUUGGGCAUUGCGAGACUCACCUCAGGCUCUCCAUGGACAAGGACAUCAAUAUCAAGCUCUUCUUGGAGUUUGACAACCUUGUUGAUUUCCUCCUUGAUGGAAGCAACAUAUUCUUCCUCAGAAAUCCUAAAAAGGACAAAUAGUCACGGCACAGUUAAUACAGUAGUUGCAGUAAUUUCACACAUGGCAUUGAAUGAAGAAACACCUCAGAUUGACUCACUUCUUAGCCUUGUAUUCACGGCGGACUCUCCUAAGUUCAAUGGUUUGUGGGAAGGAUCCAAUUGUGGUGGUUGGGAGGAUUGGAAGAUUGAGCUUCUUCUGUUGAGCAUCUAAUCUAGCACUAACGUUUGUAGCACGUCUGUGGUCUGAUCCCCUCAAAGCAGCAGCCUAAUAGACCAAGAGGAAGGAAUCACUGUUAGCAAAAAAGGAAAUUCUAAGGGACAGCCACAUCAUAAAAAUGGAAAACAAAUCAAUCAUGCCACUUACAGCCUUUUGAACUGCCUCAUUGGUCACUCUCGGGGAGGACUUUCUUGAAGCCUGAGCUGCAGCAUUGGCAGAGAAGAAUCCCUGGAAACAAAUGAUAAGGAGAACCAAAGUUAGUCUCAUUCAUAUCAUUUUAAAAAGAAGAUACAUAUGCAAUUAGUGGGCUGAUUGUGAGAGAAAAAGUCCCCAAAACUUUAAUCAAACACCAAAUGCCCAAGUUGCCAAAUGAUGUUUAAUUCGGAAAAAUAUAUUUAAAAACAUUCAAAUAUAAUUUCCCCUUCUAAAUUUUCAUUUUCAACAACAUAUUUUACAAGCCAAGCUCAACGUCAGGCCAAGAUUUUGUGCUCCUAUAAUUAUAUUUUACCAUAAAACUAGGUCCUUGAAAGGCUAAGAUUUUCUGACUCUUGUGACUAGUCAAAGCCUAAGAUUCUUUCAAUUCAUCCGUAGUAAAAGUAUACCUCAUCCUUUUGGCCAGCCAAAGCCUUGGCCAAUGCAUUGACUUCAACAACUUUCUGGGCAGCAAAUGCCAGCCAUGACUUGAUUUCGUCGUCGAGUUUGUUCUCAUUAACAAGAUCAACAGCAGUGUGAAGAAGUGAGCAGGAGGUGGAGACCACAAGCUUGUCUGCAAAGAAAAGUAAUAAAUUAUACAACAAAUCCCAUAAUAGAAUAAGAAAUAUUUAUCACAAAGAAAAAUGCAAGCAAAGGAUGUAUACCUUUGCCAACAACACCCUCAAGCCCCCGGAGAACACUAAGAGAAGCAGCAAGAUCAUUGGCCCAAAUGUUCCUUCCAUCAACCACUCCAGCAAAGAGGUACUUGCCAGCAGGGAAUCCACUCUUGAUCAAUUCAAGGGUCUUGGUUCCACGAACCAAAUCAAAUCCAUAAGCGGUGACACCCUUCAAAGAAGUGAGGGUCUGGAAUGCCUCAGCUGGAACAUCAGCAAAGUAGGUCUCAACAAGAACAUUCAAGCCAGACAGAGUUGACUCUAGUUCCGCGUAAGCCUCACUGAAUGCUUGCAAUUUGUGUGAGUCAAGAUCCGUAACAAGCAAUGGCUCAUCAAACUGAAUCCAGGAAGCACCAGCAGCCUUAAGCUCAGAAACAACUUCCCUGCAGAAGUGUUAAUUGGUACGACACGGAUUAAUGAUGCCACACGAUACACACACACACACACACACACACACACACACACACACACACACACACACACACACACACACACACACACACACACACACACACACACACACACACACACACACACACACACACACACAGACAGAGUUAUUUAGCACAUACACGUUUAUAAAUCUGUAAAUAGGUGAUAAUUCUUACUUGUAGAUCGGAAGGAUUUUGGGAAGAAGAGAGAGAACAGAAAAGGUCUUCUCAACCCCCCAGGCAGGCUUAGACAGCAACAAGUAUGACACAGGGCCAAUAAGCACUGGGACAGUUUCAACUCCAUGCUGCAGCAUUAGACAAGUGGUAGAUAUUAGCAUCUCACAAACUUGAUCUGACUGAUAGAAAGUUACAAGCAAGUUAAGAAUAUGUUUGAUGAAAUUUCAAUGAAAAAUCUUCAGGGUCCACAACAUGUUGACUAUACCCUUUUUAAGUAAUUUAUCUUAAGACUAUUUUGCAAACAGUAUUGCUUCCCUUUACAGAUCAAAUAAAUCAUACAACAUCUGAACGCAUUUCCUGAGCCAAAUAUAAGUUCAAAGCUCUAUAAUAAAUGUCAAUGACUCUAUAGUAAAUUCCAUCACAUUCUGAGCUAUGGAUGAGCAUAUCAUAUGCCAAUUUCAAGUUGAACGUAACCCAAUUUCAACAUAUUGUAGAUUCAAGUAUCAAACGAAAAAAAAAAUAUUGUAAAUAUAGACAGAACUGAGAACAAACACUCACCCCCUUAGCCUCCUUGUACUCAGUCACAGCCUUGUGGGAAGCGUAGGAGAACUUAACAUCGGGUCCCAAUUCAGGAACAAUGAAAUGACUGCAUCAACACGAAGCCAAACACACGUCAGCAUUCAGUACAAAACCAUUACACCAUAACUAACUUGAAAUGCCGCUCUUCCAAGUAGUGAAUACUUACUAGUUGGUGUCGAACCACUUGGUCAUUUCCAUUGCGAGAACAGAGGCGUUUCCUCUGGCCAUGGAGAAGUAAACAUCGAAUCCAAUCUCGCCGCCGUUCCAGUUAAACCUCGGGGGCACGGCACCGAGCAUUGCGGUGGUGUCGAGCACUUGGUCGUAGUAGGAGAAAGUGUUGCUGGGAAUGUAUUUGAUCCCGGCCUCGGACAUCUGUUUCCAGAUGGAGGAUCUGAGAUCAGCGGACACCUUUUGCAAAUCCUCGGCGCUGCUCUUGCCAUCCCAGAAGGAUUCCAACGCGAACUUGAGCUCCCUCUUGGGGCCCAUGCGUGGGUAACCAACGAUGUGAGAUGCCAUUUUACUGUCAUAAUCACGUCAUCAAUGAAUCGAAAAUCAGUCCCUUCCAUUAAAUCAAGAAAUUAUUAAUUCAAAUGAAUGGAUCACAUUGUAUAUAUAUGGGAUAAAUAUAAUUAUGAACAAAAGCGUCUAAUCAAUCACAAAAAGCAAGCGACUGCAUCAAAUUUAGGGAUCCGACCCGACCCGACCCGAUCUGUAAAUUCCGGUUUCAAUCGGAUUAAGAUGAAACCUCUAACCCGAUAUAGUUGGAUUUUGGCCAACUCGAUCGGAUCAGAUCGGAUCGGAUUAAACUUAGUCCAAUCCGAAAAAUUCAAAAAAUCAAAACUACAAUAAGUAUAAAUCUAAAUUUUCAAUUCAAUUUGAUCUAAUCUGAAUAUAUUCGAAUCGGAUCAAAUACUAUGCUCUGCUUAAACUUGGAUUAUAUUUUUUUCAAUUUGAUUAACCUAAAAUUCGAUUGGAUAGAUCCAAAACUGAAUUUAUCUACCCCUCAGUCAUCAAUCAAUUACAAAACCUAAAAUCCGAUUGGAUAGAUCCGAAACUGAAUUUAUCCACCCUUAAGUCAUCAAUCAAUUACAAAGGCGACUGAUGUUUAUACAAUGGACAAUUAUUAAGUUACAGCUCUUGUAAUUUACAACUUAUACAAAAAUAUGUGAAAAAUUGUGAUAGGCAGUACAGUGUCAUGAUUUUAUACAAAAAUAUGUAAACAAUUGUGAUAGACGGUAGAACCUCAUGAUUUUAUAAAAAAUACGUAAAAAGUUGGGAUAAGUAAUGGAGCCCGCAUAAUUUUUUAUCAGCUGCAAGUUGCAAGUUACAGCAACUGUAACUUAGCGACCCCGACUUCAAUGUAAAAUGAGAAAGUACUCCUCCGCAUAGUACCUGAUGCUCAAAAGUCAAAUCACACGAAAUGCAAAUAGACUUAUCAGAGCAUAAAACCUUAUAUUACUUUUUGAAAAACGAUUUGAAACAAGGGCAAAAUUACAGUGUAACCGUACUUAGUCAUUGAAUUCAGCUCACAAUUAUCAUUAUAGUUAGAUCUAAUAACUAGAUCCAACUGUAUCCACAGUUAUAUUGUAGUUAGAUCUGAUAACUAAAUCCAGAUCCAGCUGUCCCCACAAUUGUCAUUAUAGUUAGAUCUAAUAAUUAGAUUCGGCUGAUUCAGCUGUGAUGUAGUACCCUGUAGUGCCAUAACUGGACAAAGAAACAAACUGAUAUAUUUUCUUUUUUGAAACAAACUGAUACUAAUCCAAGAGUUUCAGAUGAUCGGUUUUUUUUUUUUUUUCUAUAGUCACAUCAAUAAUUAAGUACUUUCAGUCAUUUUCGAAGGAUUAAAACGAAAACUCUAAAAAAAUUCUGAGAAUGAAGAAUCCGAAAAUAGAUUCAGAAAUAGUAACACAAGUAGAGGUCAGAUUGUUUUUUGGAAAAGAUUAAUUGCAGAUCUGAUGAACUCAAGUCUAGAUCUAGCAAAAUCACGGCAGCCAAACACUAGAUCUAAGACUAACAGUCACUCACCAGUCGAUCAGAAAGUGAAAUCAAGUUCAAAAUUCUUUUUUUUUAAUAGAUCCAAAAGCUAAUAUACAUAUAUAUAUGGCAAAAUAUAUAUACCGUACCCGAGAAGGACGAGCAGAGAAAUUAAGCUUUUUUCGAGAGAACGAGAAAGAAGAGAGACGAGACUGUUAGAAAUUGCUGUCAGUUUAAUUUUUAUUUAUAGCCAAAAACCUAACCUUGUUUAGUGGUUACUGGUUACCGUCUUCGGCGGUGUUGAUCUGAGAUUUAUCAUUUUAAUUUCUUUCUCUUACUUAUUUAUUUAAUUUGGGUCCAACUACGGUGAAACUGUAGUACCGUGCUACAGUUAUUUUCAACCGUUUGAUUCACUUGGAUGGUGGGAUCCAAUAAAAUCCAAUAACUGGGUGCAACCGUAGCACGGUGCCGCAGUUGCACCACAGUUUUUCCCAUUUAUUUAUUAUGCUUUCAGUGCAGUUGGCAAAAACAUGGAGCUUACGCGCGCUUUUCUGAUGUGGCGCGUGAAUUGGAAAUGUGGUAGAUCUUUGUGGAUCCGCCGGUGCAGUGAAGAGUGAAGGAAAAAAGAGAAAAGUUAUCAUGCCAGAUCAUUUGAAGAGAGCCGCAAUUAGUAAUUACACCACAAUAUAUUUCUGAUUAUUUGCUUACUUUGAUGAUGUUUUUACUGAUUAGUAAUUGGAAUAUGUUAGAAUCUAAAUAUAGUAGAAUCAUAAUAGAGUUGAAUCAAAAUAGACUAUAAUUAGAAUGGAUAAUGGGAAUUAGAAGAAUUAUUUGCUUUAGUUGUGAGAAUCCAAAUUGGAAUGAACUAUAUUGUCGUUGAUAUGUUUACUUUAUCAUAGAAUAUGAAUGAAUUAUUACAAGUUACUAAACAGACCUUAAGUUGAUUAUUGUCAUUAUUUAUUUAUUUAUUAUUAUUAUUAUUAUUAUCAUCAUCAUCAUCAUCAAAAUUAUUAAUCUUAUUAUUAAUGUUAAUUAUAAUAAUUAAUAAUUAUAAUAGUAUUAUAAUAAUAAUAAUAAUAAAAGCAAUCAUAAAAUGAGAAUUUCAAGAUUUAAGUAGAGAUAAUAUAAUUAUUUUAGAAAAUGAGAAUUUCCAUGAGAAUGUGAACUCUAUUAAUCAUUCCCAAUUUGAAGUGGGGCCUGCCAUUUUGAUUCAAUCUCUCAUUUAAGCAAGUAAAUACGACAUUUAUUCUCAUUCCCUCAUUCCCACUCUCAGGUAGCGUUUGUUUUUUAACUUAAUGACUUAAAGUGACUUAACUUAAUUAAUUAAGUUAAUUAGAGGUGUUUAUUUUUAUAACUUAAUGAGACUUUUUAGAUAAUUUUGACUUAAUAAAAUGAGCCAAUUUUUUUUGGCUUUUUACUUAAUGGAGAAAUUUGAAUUUAGUCAAUUACUUACUAAUGUCAAAAAUAUCUAUGUUUUAUAAUUUAUUUUUCAUGUCUAUCCCAAAACUCACCCAUAGACAUUUACCCCACAUAAAAAUAUCCCUAUUUUUUCUUUCUUAUAUUAUAUACGAUAAAAUUUGAAAUUUAUGGUAUUUUAUAUAUUAAAAUUCUAAAAUAAUUAUGUAUUCACUUGAAUAUAGUUUUACUUAUAACUGUUAAAAUAUUGUGGUAUUUAAUAUAUUAUUUAUUUGACAUUAAAAUUUAAUAAGGAUACAAAUGUAAAAGUACAUAUUUUCAGUUUUUUCAGUUAAAAAAAAAGCAACUUAAUACUUAUUUUUCGAGAUUCAGACGAAAAAAUAAACAUAUUAUUCAUAUUCAGACAUUUAGAUAUAUUCAGAAUUCAAACUAAUUCAGGUCUAUUCAGAUUUUAGACAAAAAAAACAAACGCCACCUCAAUCAAUAAACACACCAUAAAUGUAGAGUUGUUACUAUUAGAAUACAUUAUAAUUCAUCACAAUUAUGAUAGGUAUAUACGUGUGUAAUAAUUUAUAUAAGAUGCUAAAUUUUGAAAAUAAUAAAAAAUCAUUUAUACAUAUUUAAAAAAAUCAUUAAUACAUUAAAAUGUGCAUCACAUAUACAUUUACAUAAUAGCAAUGACCAUAGUAUAAAAAAAACUCCUAAAAGAGAACGACUUCGUUAUUUAUGUUAUUUUAUAUAUUUUUAAUUGAUUAUUAAAAGGAUCAAUUGUUAAUUAUUAUUCUCCAAACAUAAUCACCGUUAAACAUUUAUUCAAUUUAACAAUAGGUAGAUGUUAAAUAAUAUUGGAAUAUUUAAUGAACAAUAUAAUCACUAUUGCAGUUGUUUUUUUUUUUUAGUAAUGGAUUAUUCGAAACUCAAAUUCAUUUUUUAGCCCCCUUACCUCUCUUAAAAUUCAAAUUUAAGUGACUAAACAAAUAAAACUGCUUAAAAUCUAUACGACUACAUCUUUGGGGACCAAUUAAUAUGGAUGUUUAAAUCUUGAUUUAUUAUUAAAUCUUUGAGUUUCAACCACUAAUAACAUCAUCAUCGAUUAAUGACAAAUAAAAUAAUACAUCAUCAAAACCAUUAAACACGUCCAUCAAUAUCAAAAACAAGUAAAAAGUUUAGCAUGUAUUUCAAAUAUACUUUUCAUCCCAAAAGUUGUAGAGAAAGUCUCGAUAUCAAUGUCACUAUGAGACGUAAUUUUAUAUUUAAAGUCAGCGCAACUUAAAAAUUACUAUGAAUGAAUAAUACACCAUAAAAAAAUUAUUUAUAAGUAUUUUCAUCAUGUAUUUUUAUUUAACAAUGGUGACAUUUAUUUUUUAACUUAAUGACUUAAAGUGGCUUAACUUAAUUAAUUAAGUUAAUUUUAGGUGUUUGUUUUUAUAACUUAAUAGGACAUUUUAGAUAAUUUUGACUUAAUAAAAUAGGCCAAUUUUUUUUAACUUUUUACUUAAUAGAGAAAUUUGAAUUAAGUCAGUUACUUUCUAAUGUAAAAAAAUAUUCCUACUUUAUAAUUUAUUUUUCAUGCAUAUUCAAAAACUCACCCAUAGAUAUUUACCCCACAUAAUCUCAUCUUUAUUUUCUUCCAGCCGUCAUGGAAUCCCUCCUCACUUUGCUUCUCUCCUCUAGUUCUUGAAUCUCCCUUUAAUUUCUCGCUAGGCAAAGCACUUGAAUUGGGCUUUUUUUUUUUCCUUUUCAAUUACGUUUUCCAACAUUCACUUAUAUAAUAAUCAACUAGUUGCUACUCUUUUUAGUGAUAAAAUUUGAAAUAUGGUAUUUUAUAUAUUAAAUUUUCAAAAUUAUGUAUUCACUUAAAUGUAGUUUUACUUAUAAAUAUUAAAAUAUUAUGUUAUUUAAUAUAUUAUUUAUUUGACAUUCAAAUUUAAUAAGGAUAUAAAUGUAAAAGUACAUAUUUUUAAUUUUUUAAGUUGAAAAAAUAACUUAAUAUUUAUUUUCAGAUAUUCAAAUAAAAAAUAUAUUAUUUAAAUUCAAAAAUUUAAAUCUAUUCAAAAUUUAAAGUAAUUCAGGUCUAUGCAUAUUUCAAUCAUAAAAACAAAUGCCACAUGAGUCAUUCAAUUUCUAAUUAAGAGGAUAAAAAAUAGAUUUGGACUAUCCUAAGACAAAAACAAAAAAAAAAACAAAAAUAAGAUUUCCUAAUAAGUGUACUAACGUGGUCACGCGCCUUGAGAAACGCUUGGACCUAACACACUAUUUUAAUCCGAUAUGCAAAAAAAGAAAAAAAAAAAAAAGGAAAAAUUAUGAGAUGUAUAAGUUUCUAGAGACGUGUUAAAUUUUGAUGAAACAAUGAAGAAAGUCGGUGGCCGAAGUUGGUAUGGGGCAAUGCGAAUGGUGGUUGGCCCACGUUGCCCUGUAAUUGGAGUUGUUAUAAUUUUUCUUAUAAUUAAUAGGACUUGACACAGACUGCAGCAUCAGCCGUUGGAUGUGGAGGGAGAAACUAAACAAUAGAAAACCGUAUGGUGGGAUGACGGUAGAUGUUUGUUACAGAAACUGUACCAUAGACAGGUCCUAAUUAAUAAGCUCUACGUUUUGAAACAAUAAAUAAACUCCAGAUGACCAAAAUAUCAUUUCAUACUGCUACCUAGACAUCUUGGCGAGGGUGGGUAAUGUGGGGCCCGGAGCUUGUUUGAUCGUCAAUUAUUCUCUGGUUUGGUGAAACGAAUGGACGGACGAUGGUGAUGGCUUUUAGGAGAUUAGUAUUAUUAUUAUUAUUAUUAUUAUUACAUUGAGAUCGUAAAACAAAAAAUUCAAUUAAUAAUAUAAAAUAUUUAUUUAAUUUAUUAAUUAUUAUAUAUACACAAUAAAAAAAUUUAUAUACAUAUUUAUAAAUGUGUAAAUAAAUUUCAUUCAAUAUUAUAUCCAAUUAAUCAUUUAUAUUUUUCUGCUGUACCGUACAUCCGCCUUGGCCGUACAGCAGUAAAGCUGCUGAUGCUUUAUCGCGAAUUCAUGAGGAAAAUGUGAUUGAAGAACCCAAACCAACAACUCUUUGUUUGUCGUUAGACAUUUACCCCACAUAAAAAUAUCCCUAUUUUUUCUUUCUUAUAUUAUAUACGAUAAAAUUUGAAAUUUAUGGUAUUUUAUAUAUUAAAAUUCUAAAAUAAUUAUGUAUUCACUUGAAUAUAGUUUUACUUAUAACUGUUAAAAUAUUGUGGUAUUUAAUAUAUUAUUUAUUUGACAUUAAAAUUUAAUAAGGAUACAAAUGUAAAAGUACAUAUUUUCAGUUUUUUCAGUUAAAAAAAAAGCAACUUAAUACUUAUUUUUCGAGAUUCAGACGAAAAAAUAAACAUAUUAUUCAUAUUCAGACAUUUAGAUAUAUUCAGAAUUCAAACUAAUUCAGGUCUAUUCAGAUUUUAGACAAAAAAAACAAACGCCACCUCAAUCAAUAAACACACCAUAAAUGUAGAGUUGUUACUAUUAGAAUACAUUAUAAUUCAUCACAAUUAUGAUAGGUAUAUACGUGUGUAAUAAUUUAUAUAAGAUGCUAAAUUUUGAAAAUAAUAAAAAAUCAUUUAUACAUAUUUAAAAAAAUCAUUAAUACAUUAAAAUGUGCAUCACAUAUACAUUUACAUAAUAGCAAUGACCAUAGUAUAAAAAAAACUCCUAAAAGAGAACGACUUCGUUAUUUAUGUUAUUUUAUAUAUUUUUAAUUGAUUAUUAAAAGGAUCAAUUGUUAAUUAUUAUUCUCCAAACAUAAUCACCGUUAAACAUUUAUUCAAUUUAACAAUAGGUAGAUGUUAAAUAAUAUUGGAAUAUUUAAUGAACAAUAUAAUCACUAUUGCAGUUGUUUUUUUUUUUUAGUAAUGGAUUAUUCGAAACUCAAAUUCAUUUUUUAGCCCCCUUACCUCUCUUAAAAUUCAAAUUUAAGUGACUAAACAAAUAAAACUGCUUAAAAUCUAUACGACUACAUCUUUGGGGACCAAUUAAUAUGGAUGUUUAAAUCUUGAUUUAUUAUUAAAUCUUUGAGUUUCAACCACUAAUAACAUCAUCAUCGAUUAAUGACAAAUAAAAUAAUACAUCAUCAAAACCAUUAAACACGUCCAUCAAUAUCAAAAACAAGUAAAAAGUUUAGCAUGUAUUUCAAAUAUACUUUUCAUCCCAAAAGUUGUAGAGAAAGUCUCGAUAUCAAUGUCACUAUGAGACGUAAUUUUAUAUUUAAAGUCAGCGCAACUUAAAAAUUACUAUGAAUGAAUAAUACACCAUAAAAAAAUUAUUUAUAAGUAUUUUCAUCAUGUAUUUUUAUUUAACAAUGGUGACAUUUAUUUUUUAACUUAAUGACUUAAAGUGGCUUAACUUAAUUAAUUAAGUUAAUUUUAGGUGUUUGUUUUUAUAACUUAAUAGGACAUUUUAGAUAAUUUUGACUUAAUAAAAUAGGCCAAUUUUUUUUAACUUUUUACUUAAUAGAGAAAUUUGAAUUAAGUCAGUUACUUUCUAAUGUAAAAAAAUAUUCCUACUUUAUAAUUUAUUUUUCAUGCAUAUUCAAAAACUCACCCAUAGAUAUUUACCCCACAUAAUCUCAUCUUUAUUUUCUUCCAGCCGUCAUGGAAUCCCUCCUCACUUUGCUUCUCUCCUCUAGUUCUUGAAUCUCCCUUUAAUUUCUCGCUAGGCAAAGCACUUGAAUUGGGCUUUUUUUUUUUUCCUUUUCAAUUACGUUUUCCAACAUUCACUUAUAUAAUAAUCAACUAGUUGCUACUCUUUUUAGUGAUAAAAUUUGAAAUAUGGUAUUUUAUAUAUUAAAUUUUCAAAAUUAUGUAUUCACUUAAAUGUAGUUUUACUUAUAAAUAUUAAAAUAUUAUGUUAUUUAAUAUAUUAUUUAUUUGACAUUCAAAUUUAAUAAGGAUAUAAAUGUAAAAGUACAUAUUUUUAAUUUUUUAAGUUGAAAAAAUAACUUAAUAUUUAUUUUCAGAUAUUCAAAUAAAAAAUAUAUUAUUUAAAUUCAAAAAUUUAAAUCUAUUCAAAAUUUAAAGUAAUUCAGGUCUAUGCAUAUUUCAAUCAUAAAAACAAAUGCCACAUGAGUCAUUCAAUUUCUAAUUAAGAGGAUAAAAAAUAGAUUUGGACUAUCCUAAGACAAAAACAAAAAAAAAAACAAAAAUAAGAUUUCCUAAUAAGUGUACUAACGUGGUCACGCGCCUUGAGAAACGCUUGGACCUAACACACUAUUUUAAUCCGAUAUGCAAAAAAAGAAAAAAAAAAAAAAGGAAAAAUUAUGAGAUGUAUAAGUUUCUAGAGACGUGUUAAAUUUUGAUGAAACAAUGAAGAAAGUCGGUGGCCGAAGUUGGUAUGGGGCAAUGCGAAUGGUGGUUGGCCCACGUUGCCCUGUAAUUGGAGUUGUUAUAAUUUUUCUUAUAAUUAAUAGGACUUGACACAGACUGCAGCAUCAGCCGUUGGAUGUGGAGGGAGAAACUAAACAAUAGAAAACCGUAUGGUGGGAUGACGGUAGAUGUUUGUUACAGAAACUGUACCAUAGACAGGUCCUAAUUAAUAAGCUCUACGUUUUGAAACAAUAAAUAAACUCCAGAUGACCAAAAUAUCAUUUCAUACUGCUACCUAGACAUCUUGGCGAGGGUGGGUAAUGUGGGGCCCGGAGCUUGUUUGAUCGUCAAUUAUUCUCUGGUUUGGUGAAACGAAUGGACGGACGAUGGUGAUGGCUUUUAGGAGAUUAGUAUUAUUAUUAUUAUUAUUAUUAUUACAUUGAGAUCGUAAAACAAAAAAUUCAAUUAAUAAUAUAAAAUAUUUAUUUAAUUUAUUAAUUAUUAUAUAUACACAAUAAAAAAAUUUAUAUACAUAUUUAUAAAUGUGUAAAUAAAUUUCAUUCAAUAUUAUAUCCAAUUAAUCAUUUAUAUUUUUACAGCGGUUUAAUAAUAAUAUUUACUAAAUACAUAUGAUUAUUUUUAAAAUUCACAGUAUUUUUAAAAAUAAAUUUUAUAAAAUUUUUAACUAAUUUUCUUUACAACUAACUAUUGAACGGUUUAACUAAUAGUAAUUAUUUUUAAAAUUAUAGUAUUAUCAAAUUAGUCCUAUGUCAAAUUUGUUAUUGCUGUUUUUUUUUUAAUUAAAAAAUUACAUAGUGCAUACGUGCAUAAUAUGCCCAACUCAAAAAUUCACACAAAAUAUACUAUUUAACUUUAAGGCUUUAAUUGAAAAAAAAAAUUAAGAUUAAGAUGAAUAAAUACUAGAACAUAACAAAUAGAUAAACUCUCCCAUUCUUUAAAAAGAUUAAUUUUAUUUUAAACUUACACUUCGAAUUCAAAGUAGACAUUGAUUGAUAAAAUUAUACAAACGGAUCAAUAUUCCUACAUUUUCUUUUUAAUUUCAAAACCAACAGAUAUUGUUUGUUCAUUAUAUGACCUCCAAACAAAUAAUUUCAUUAAUAAAAUAAUAAUGAAAAGUGUCGUGAUGGGUAUAGAGUAAUUAGGUGGCUAAGUUUCUACUUUUCAUUCUAACUCUUGAGGUUGGUAGGCGCGUGGGUGGUCCACAAAACCCGUGGACGGUAGCAUUCAAACAAAGACUGGAGGCACCAGAAAAAUGUCCAAAAAGUGUGAAACCGUGACGUGUUCAACAUGUUAAUAAAUUUAGGCAAAUGUUAAAGUUACGGAGCUGGCUACGUUACAGAAACUGUACGUAACAGCCAUGCAUUUUUUAUUCGUUGGAUCUAGAGACUGAAAUUGGAUGGUUGGGAUUAAAGGCCAGAAUAGAAAUUAAUCACGGGCAACCGUUUUUAACAUUUAGAAGGGUUUAUUUUCAUGCACACCCAAAUAUUUUGACAAAUAUCAAUAUGCACCCAGUAACUUUUUAUGUAAAACCACAUAACCGACCCGUUAACUUUUCUACUAUUGAAUUAAAAAACUAUCAUGCCUCAAUUGAAUUAAAUUGAUCAGGUAAAAUAUCUUUUAUAACUUGUCAAUUUUUACAGUGAAAUAUACGAGUAUUUAGUAAAAUCAAAUUUAUUUUUUAUUCAGUAAUCAAAUUUUUUUAUUUAGUGAAAUCAAAAUUAUUUUUCUUUAGUUGUAAGAUUUUUUUAACAAAAAAAUUCUAAAAUCAGAUUUAACUCAUUUACUAUUUUAAAAAAUGAACUUUUUACUAACCAAACUAGAGUUUAUCUUUAGUCAACAUAUUUUUUUCUCUAAAAUAACCUUUGAUAGAAUUACUUAUAUAAACAUGUCAGUAUCAAAAUUACUUCAUAUUUUACCAUCCAUCAAUUUAAACUAGUGUGAAAUUUUUUUAGUUUGAUAUUGAAAAUAUGAUAGUUGAUGAGAGAAAUCUAAUUCAAAUUUACAGAUAGAAUAGUUUCUUAUAAUUGCGUACAUGGUAUAUCAAAAAUAUUUUUUUGUGAGUUUUUAAAAAAAUUGUGUCACAAGAUGAAAUUAUCUCUUGAUUUUUCAAUUCCUGGAAUUUAUGUAAAACAAUAAACACAAGUAAAUCUUUUGGUUUGUGACUUCUUGAAGGAAUGUUUGGGAACGCACAAGUUCCUCUCUCCUUCAAAAAGAAUGAUAAGUGCAAAUACCAACCUAGAAAAUUGAUUUAUAAUUCAAAGAAGAUUUGAUUGAAGAUGAUUAAUUGAAAUUUAUCUUUGCAUGAUGUCAAACAUUUUUCAAAAUGACUAAGUCAAGUCUCUUUGUUAAUUCAAAUCAAGAAAAAUUAGAAAAAUAUUAAUGCAUAGAAAUUCUACUAAGAGUUAUUUAUGAAAUUCUCAAACGAAUAGAAAUUAAAUUAACAUUUUUAAAUUUUAGUUAUGGGUUUAUUUUAAAAAUGGGUUUAGAAAGAAAUUUGAGGGGUUUAAAGAACCCCGCCCUUUCUUUAAUUAUUCGGUGAAUUUGAAAUAUAUUAAUAAGGUAUAAGAAUAUGUUAUUCUAAUCUUCUUAUGCAAAAUCUAUGCAAUUAAAAAAAAAUUCACCAAACGGUAUUUGUCUUUUUAUUGACAUUUAAUAAUAUUGAUGGCAAAUAUAUACAAUUAUCAAUCAAUUGUUAUCAACUAUUCAAGAUAACUGAAAAACUAAUUGCGUGAAGUUGGAGUAAUGAUUGUUUGAAUUGCCAAGAGUUUUUUUUUAAUAGAAACUAUUGCAAUUCAUAUCAUUAAAAAACUUAAAGACUACAAGUCGAAUAAAAAAUCUUUCCUUAUAAAAGAAUUUGACCAACUCAAAGUACAGUGUUAAAUCCUUGAGAUACAAUGAACCUAAAAAUCCUACUUUGACACACCACAAAUAAUGAAUCUAACUUAACAAUCAAUGGAGAUAAAUCAAUUUUACUAGCAAAAUAUAAGCCAAAACACAAGGCAACGUCUUCACCAAAAUCAAUAUCAUUCAAAUAAUUCCCCUUGUGAACGCCUGAAGCUAUCAUAAAAACAACAAAAAAUAAAAAAAUAAAAACAAGUAGACAAGCAAAAAAAUUCCCCAAUAACAAGUUACCCUACAAAACUUUUCCUUGUAGAACAUACACAGAAACCGCAGCUAUAGGGCUAUCGAAAGUAGGGAUGGCAAUGGGGAGGGGAGGGGAGGGGACCAAUCUCCCCAUACCCAUCCCCGAUAUUUUGCGUAUGUCCCCGUCCCCGUCAGAAUUGCUUGAGAGAAUCUCCAUCCCCUCCCCGAAUAAUAACAGGGGAUCCCCGAGGGUCCCCGGUCUUUGGAAAAGCUAGGAAAGAAAAGGGACGUGAAAAACAAAGGGGGUAGAUUUUUUGAAGGGGAAAGAAAAAGAAACCCUAGAUCUAAAUUUUUCUCUUCUCUCUAUGAAGAACUAAACCUAUUAUUCUGGUUGAAGAUUAAUAAAGCUUUGGUUCAUCAUUACUGUGAGAUCUUUCUUAUGCUUUAAUUGUUUUAUUGCUUUUUGGGUAUUUGUUUAUUCUCUAAAUUAUUGUCAUGAUUAUAUUUGUUAAUUAGAUAAUUGGCCACUAUUUAAUUAUCAACUUAAUCUAUUGUCAAUUAAAAGAUUCAUCGUAUGAAGAUUUUAAUAUUUGUGACAAAUAGCAUAGCAGUGCGUUGUGUUAUGAGAAUAAACAAUCUAAUUUAAAUGAACCAUCGUAUGCGUUUGUUGAUUAGGAUUUGGGUCUCUCUGAUUUUUCAGGUUGUCAAUUAAUUAAAUCCUAUGAUUGUAUCUAGGGUUAUCUAUUAAUUAGGGAAAUAACCAAUGGUCGUACCUUAGUUAUCGACUAGUUAAAGAGAGAUUGGCUAUUAAAGGGUCUCAGUAGCUAGGGAUGGCAAAAAUCCCCACGGGGACGGGCACCCUCGGGGAUUUUCCCCAUUCGGGGAGGGUACGGGGAUAAUUUUAUACCCAAUUUUUUUUUCGGGGAGGGGACGGGGAAAAUUUUUUACCCAAUUUUUUAUUCGGGGAGGGGACGGGGAUGAGGUGGAAUCCCCAUCCCCUACCCAUUUCCCCAUUUUAAUUUUUAUUUUUUAUUUUUAAAAUUACUAAUAAAUAUAUAACAAAAUUAUAAAUAUUGGCAAGAUAUGAGUGGAAUUUUGGGUGUGACAUGUAUAUUUGAUCCAAGGUAUAAAAAGAAGUUCAUUGAAUAAUACUUUUCUUUUUAUUUUUAAAAUUACUAAUAAAUAAAUAACAAAAUUAUAAAUAUUGUUAAAAAUAAUAAAUAUCAAAAUAGUUGUAUGUUGGGAAAGUGGUCACCCCUUACCAGGAAUUAGUGGAAGAGUAUCAAUUGAAGUUUUCACCAAUUGUUUAUUGCUUUGAUUAUACUGGUUGUAGUUCUUCUAUUAGAUCUACAGGGGAUUCUUAUAAGAAAGCAACCAAAUGGAUGACAUGUUUUGAUGAUUAUGUAAACAAUGGAGAUUGUGCAGUUGUUGCAGAUGAAUUAGAUUCAUAUUUGGAUGAAAAAGUUAUACCCCGGAUGGAAGAUUUUAAUAUUUUGAGUUGGUGGAAGACAAAUGCUAAUAGGUAUCCUACAUUAGCUCGAAUUGCUACAGGACGAGCAGGAGGUAAAUAGUUUUAUUAAAAAUAUUAAUUAAGUAUCUACAUUUAUUUCAUUUAUUUUAUUGCCGAUGUAAAAAAUAUUUUUUUUUUCUUUUUAUUGUAGGAUUAUGAAGAUUGAGACAUUGAUAAAGAUAAUUAUUUUAAUAAUUUAUAUUUUGAAUGUGACUUUGUAAUGGAUCAAUAUUAAUGUAAGAUAUAUUUUAAACUUUAUUUUUAUCUGAAUUUUUUAUUUUAAUAUGAUUAAUUUAAAAUCAAAAAUAAAAAAAUGUAUUAGACUAUUAAUUAUUCGGAGACCGGGGACCCUCGGGGAUCCCCUGUUAUUAUUCGGGGAGGGGAUGGGGAUUCUCUCAAGCAAUUCUAACGGGGACGGGGAGGGGACGGGGACAUACGCAAAAUAUCGGGGAUGGGUAUGGGGAGAUUAGUCCCCUCCCCUCUCCUCCCCAUUGCCAUCCCUAGAUUUUUGCCAUCCCUAUCGAAACCUCUACCCACCACUAUUAGAGUUAAAAAAAUCUCUGAUAUGAGUGUAUUCUUCUAAUUUGAACUCUAACGUGAUUUUUUGAGAGAUUCAUUGGAAAAAAACCUUAAGGAGUUAAAGAAGAAAUUUAAAAAAAAAAUCAUAAAAAGAGGAAUGAAAAGAAAAAGAUGCUUUACCAAGAGUUGAUUGACAGUAAUUGGUAAAUUUGAGCAUGCAAUAAAAUUUACCCAUAUAUUCAUAUGACAUAAAAUAUAAUUUUAUUCAUUAAUUACACUACUAAUUUGUCUAAAUUUUAGUUUUUAAAAAAAUAAAUUUCUAUAUAUUUACAUAAAUCUUAGUUUUUAUAAAAAUAAAUUGAAAAAUAAAUUUAUGUUUUUAUAAAAAUAAAUUUAUGUUUAUUUUUUUACAUUGACCUGAAGAAAAGACUAGUACUACUAAGCUGCUGUACGGCCAAGGCGGAUGUACGGUACAGCAGCAAUUUGACUGUUUGGGGGUGGGGUUGAUGGCUUACAUCAAAGUUAGUGUGUGCUAAGGAUUAACAAUAAUAAUGGGGUAAAUAUGAAAUUAAUCCUUGCCCAAGCAUUAGAAGUUCGUCGGUUUUCUUUUAACCGGAUAAUUACCGGUGAAUAUGUCACGCGUUCCUACACGUGGCAGCAUCUAAUUUAUUCGCUUGUCAUUUCAGUUUCUGUUAGUUACAGUUUCUGUAACGUAGCUAGCUCCGUCAGGUACAGGCAUGUUGUAACUUACGUUUCUCGUAAAAAUCAUAUAAGUUCUAUUUCUACCGCUAGGGUGAGCAUGGGUUGAUUUGGAUUAAAUUUUAAGUUAAUUUAAAUUAAAUUAUAAAAAUUUGGGUGUAAUCUAAAUUAAUUUAAAUAUUUUUAACAUAACUCAUGGGUUGGUUAAAUCAAACUAUAAAAAUUUGGUCCAACUCAAAUUAACUCAAAUAUUUUCAACACAACCCAAAGCAACUCAGUUGGAUUUUAUUAAAAUUAUAAUAAUUAUUAAUUGUUUUUAAACCAACCAUUUUGAGUUUGGUUUGGAUUUUAUUAUCAAAAUAUAUUUUUUAUUUUGAGAAAUUUAAUUUUAUCAAAAUUAUAAUAAUUAUUAAUUGUUAUUACUUAUUAAAUUGAUAAUAACAUAUAAAAAUUAUAAUUCAUAAAAAUUAUAAAUAACAAAUUUUACAAUAACUUAAUCCUUAAAUUAAAGAAUACUAGAAAAUUAAAAUAAAGUUUAAUCACAAAAAUCAUUAUUUAUCAAUAAAUAAGAAAAUUCUAAUAAAAAACUUCUACAAGCACGAUAUCGACAAGUAAAUUCAAAGAAAGAAAGAAAGAAAGAAAAGACUAGUACUACUAAGUAUUAACCCUAUUACAACACAAACUCUAACAAUGUCCAUACAAAUAAAAAAAAAUAAGACAUUCUAACUCAAGUGUCAAAGCAAUCCAUCAUAAUCAUUUCCAUCCGUAGUACUUUAAUCGAGAGAUUCCACGAUUAACUGACAAAAUGUAUGACAAUGAUAAUUUACAUUGAUUAUGACAUAAUAGAGAUGGAUUUGUCAAAGCCAAAUCAUUUGCUGGAAAGGAAUUUAGUUGAAGUAGGAACCAAAAUUCAACUUAGAUGGAUCUAUAAAAUUGGUCAUUCAAUACAUAAGUACUUUAUCAACAGAUUCAACACAUUAUAAAUUUAUGGAUUCAACUAAGUUACAACCAGCUGCAACUUAUUCCUCUCACAUAAACAAUAAUACAGCGGUAGGCUAUAUUAUUUACAAAAAGUACUUAUGUAUUGAAUGACCAAUUUUAUUACCUGCAAAAUUAAUUAAUCUUUCACUCUAUCAUCUAACUAAUGGAAGGCAAUCUUAUUUUAGGUUGUAAUGAUUAGAAACUAGCAGGAAGUGGGGGCGAUGCUCCAUAUUAAUUUGGAUAAAUCCCUUUCUAGUGAAGAAGUUAAAAUUAUAAAAUAGAGAUCAAGAUAGAAAUUUAAAGGCCCCGAUUGUUUUUUACAGACUUAAAAAUGAUAUUGAAAAAUUAAAAGCUAAUUUUAGUAUUUAAAAAUUACUUUAAGAAAAAUCACCCUAUCUUCCUGUAAAUUUUGAAAAGCAUGAAAAGAGCAGUUUUUCAAAAAUUGAUUUCGAAAAUUAGUUUCAUACUUAAUACAAUUCCAUAUAUCCUAACAUUUAUUAUAAAAAUUCAAAUUAUCCUUAUUAAAUUAGGAAAUAAAGUCAGUACAUUUAAAUAAGAGUGAUGAUAUAGACACAAACUCUUGUACCAACUGACGUAGCAUUAAUUUAUUAGUUGAAUGAAAAUAUAAAAUAAUAUAAAUAAAUCAUGUGGGCCAAGAAAUAUUUAAUUUAACCAAUUUUAUCAUGUCACAUUAUAAGCAACUUAUAAACUCAUUGGAUUCGACUCUUUACUAAAAUAAAAAUAAAUUAAUAUAUAUAUAUAUAUAUAUAUAUAUUUACAUACAUAAAAUGUGAUUAUAUACACAUAUUUAUAAUUGAAUAUGUACAUAAAUUCUGUAGAUUUAUGUCUAUCUAUACAUUUGCAUUCUUACCACAUUUUAAAAGUGUGAUUUACCAAAUACAUGGGACUUAUUUGAAAUUUAUAGCACUUUUAUAAAUAAAAUUUAUCAAACGUUAAACAGAUUCUCUAUUUUCGCGUAUAUAUCCUCAUGUAAAUUAUAAAAAUUCAAAAUUAUCUUUAUUCAAUUAGGAAAUUAAAUCAUUAUUUUUAAAGAGAUUCUUAUUAUUACUAAUUAGAUUCAAAUAACCAAAAAAAUACAAUCAAUAAAAUAAAAAUAUUUAUUUUAGUUAUCAUUUAUUAUAUACACAUAUUUAUAAAUGCAUGUGUAAAUAAAAUUUUAUAGAUUUAUGUCUAUUUAAGUUAUUUGCAUUCUUACAACAUUUAAAAAAUGAGAUUUACUAAACACAUGUGAUUGUUUUUAAAAAAGUUACAACACUUUUAAAAAUAAAAUUUAACAAAUGUUUAAUUGACUCUCUCCAAAGGUAAUUGUUUUUACAGUAUAGCUAAAGUAAUUUAUAAAUUUAUGAUAAGUAUUUGUGAAUAUUGGUCUAUGUAAAGAAGUAAAAACAACAUAUAUAUUAAGCAGCAUGAUAUUAAAACUCUUAGUAAAAUACAUAUACUAAUAAAAGAAAGACAACAAUGCAAUAAAUAAGCUUAUAAUAUAAAUUAUUAAAAUUGUAUAUUAAAAAAUUAUGCAUGAAAUUCUUUUUCUAUUUUGGUGAUAGAGAAUGCGAUAUAAUUGAAUUAUUUGAUUUAAUAAAAAAAAAAUAUGACUGUGAAGGAAAUUAACAAUUGAAUUGUGGAAUGUUAUUAAUUGUUAUUGUAUCAUUUUGCAACGUUCUAAUAAUAUGGACAAUGUUACAGUAUAUUGAUGGGCGGUAAUAUUUUCACCUCUUAAAUUGUGUAAAGUCAGCUCCAUUUAAAAAAAUUAUAUAUAAAAAGCCCAUUAGUUUUAAUAGUUUCAAAUUAAGAUUAAAUGCAAAUAAUUAACCAAUUAAAUCCUUAUUAAUAAGAUCAUUGAGCUUUAAUUAAACUAAUAAAAUGCAUUUGAUAAAUGAAAUUUACGAUAUUUAAUUACAUGAAAUUUAUUGACUACAUGAAUAAUAUAAUUGUUCAGCUGUUUAAACUUUUUCCCUAUUUAAAUUUUAAAAAACAAUGUGAAAUUUUGUAAAUAGUUCUUUGAAAUGGGGUGGAUUUACACCAUUUGUGCAGUGCAAAUAUCCUAAUUCUAACAUUUUUUUUAAAAAAAAAGACCAAAUCAUAACAUUUUUUGUAUACUAAGUUAAAGUAGUACUAACAUUAUAGCCCCCUAAUGAUUUCAAUUCAUUCAAUGAAUAUAUAAUUUAAGCAUGUUAUAAACUAAGUCUCUAAAUCGAAUUAAAAAAAGAAAAAAGAGCUUAAUUGCUGACAUAGUUGAAAAUAAAAUAAAAAAUUUUAUUAUUAGAUGAAAAAUUAUGAAACUUAAGGGGUAUAAGCGAGUCGGCAGCUGCUCACCAGGGCAUAUGUAAUAUUUGUUAAUACAUUUCAAAAUUUUAGGUUUUUUAAUAAUAUUUUCAAUACAUUUUCUAGAAGGUUUAGAAAAAAAAAAUGACUCAAUACUUUAAUCGAGCUAUGAAUAAACUCAUGUGUUAAAAAAUUUCAUAUUUACACCCAAUAAGAUUAAUUAAUGGGUGAUACAAAUUUAAGAUAGUUAAUAAUAAUAUAUAUCAUCUUAAGUUAACUUCAACUCAUUAACCUUGUAUAAGGUUUGAUGGGUCGUGCCGCAAAUUAUCACCUCUAAUCCUUUUUGCAACAGGCAUGAUGAAUGCUAACAAAAUGAAACUUCUAUAUAUUUAGUUGUUAUUCUUUUUAAUGAAAUAAUAAGGAGCUUUGCUGCAAAUUUCCAUCCAGCAUGGCAUGGACGCACGUGAAAUUUGCUAGUAUGGUCCUGGACAUGCGUGGCUGAGAUGCUUCUAAAGGCAAAGAAUUCCAAGUUCAUACCAAAUAUAACUUUCUGAUAUUUUUGUGGUAUCAAGUUUGUUUUUCACAAACUAAGGUGUCGGCGUAAAGUUGUUGUCCAUGCAAUGAAGUUUUAUACAUAAAUAUAUUAACCUAAAUUGUUACUAAAGUUCCAUAAUUAGCAGUUCCUGAGAGUUUUUACUAUAUAUUUUUUUGUUUUAAUUCAACAUAUGUUUAUUUAAUACGAUUUUAUUAAAUAAAUGUGCAUAUUUACCAUAUUUGUCUACGAUCAAUUAGUUGGAAAAAAAAAAGAAAAUUAAUAAAUUUAUUUAUUUGAUUGUUAAUGGUUUAGGCAUUUGAAUUCCCACAAAGUCAGGGUGUCAGCUCUGGACUUCUGGUGAUGUAUUUUUCUAAUAAAGAAAUAAAAUAUUGUUGUCAUUUUUUUAAUAUUCUAAUUUACCAAGCCUACCAACCAAUUAAUUUUUCUAAUUAGAUCAUUAAUUCAUUACACGUGCAUUCGCUGGCCCAGUGCUCCAAUCCCAUGCAUGCUGCACAACUCAAUGUGUUUUAAUAAGAAAAGGUUUGGUUAGCCUGUGCUGAUGCCAGAAGCCCCUUAAGGAGUUCAGGUAAACGUAAAUAUGUCCAGAUUUAGAUUUGAAUAUGUAAACGUAAAUAGGUCCAGAUUCAGAUUCGUUGCGCUAGAGAGGGGCACGCACGAUCGGGCUGCUGUCAGGUGGUACGUUGGCGUGGCAAUUCUCAACACGCGCUUCUCCUGGUGCAUACUUACGGCAAGUUGACACGUGACCCGUGUGGAUUGAGUGGACAGAGUCACGGGCACUGAUUUUUGUCAUCCAUAACGACUAACGUCGGAGACUUCGAGAAGAAAGAAAUUGUUGUCGUUUCUAAGGGGAAAAAAAUAUUUAAUUUGUUGAAGACAAAUUAACGUCGGAGAUUUUUUUUAUUUUUUAUUUUUAAUUUUGCAAUCUAAACCAGUCUAAUCAAAAUGUCAAUUUGACAAAAGUUGGACUGAUUUAGAUUAGUUCUAUUAGUUUGAUUGGAUUAAAUUGAAUUAGAUCUUGAACAUCCUAACACUUUUCAUGAAUGUUUUCCUUUUUUUUUGAAAAAAAUUAAUAAGGAGAAUUCCCAUGAAUGUUAAUUUUAUUGAUAAACUUGGCAAUUUUAAGAAAUGUUUUGACGCACGAAUAAUGCAAUUCAUCAACCCACAUAGAUAUGGAUAUAGGAAGCAGAGACCAGAUCGAUCUUGACAUAACGAAAACUUGUAUGUGUAUAUGUAUGUUACAGACCAGAUCGAUCUGUAGCAUAGACUUCUCCUAUAUGUAGGUUAUAUUCAAAUUACAAAAUGAACACAUGUUAAGGAUCUACAACUUCUUCUUUAAUCUAAUAAGCUCCCUCAACUUUAUUCCAAAACAAAAAAGAAUCAAAUUUUUGUUGGAAAUAUUUAUGAAUGAAGAAGCAAAAAGCGCUUGUAUCAAGGAUCUAAUUAAAGAACUGCCAGAGGCAUAGAUCUAUCAAAGCUCCCUCGCAUGACUCUUGGUCUCGGUGGCUUCUUCUUCUUCAUUCCGAAUUUUCCCUCCAUCUGAUCUCUUCCAACCUUUCCAUUUCCAAAUUGAAUUGAAACUUGCCUCAUAUUCGUUUGUUGAAUCCCAUCUUUUGUUGCACCACCAUGCAUCAAAAUCCUUGAAAUCCCAGCAUAAUGCAAGGACUCAGCUAUUUGCAAUGGGGUCACGUUCUUACUUGUCCUUGCCUCAACAUCAGCUCCCUUCUUCACAAGCAAUUCAGUCACAUCUGUGUGGCCAGAUUCCACCGCACAAUGCAAAGCUGUGUACCCAUCUUCAUCUUUAGCAUCAACAUCAAUCCCUUUAUCAAUCAGAAUCCUCACAACCUCAAUCUUUCCCUUAAACGAAGCCCUAUGCAAAGCAGUCCAUCCAUGUAGGUCUUUCCCAUUGAUCGCGGCGCCUGCUUCGAUCAACCUCUGCAUUGUCCUCACUUCCCCUUUCCUAGCGGCAAUACACAGGCUGUCACCAAGCUUCAACGCGUCAAAGAGACGGGAGUGACCGCACUCAGCAGCAACAUCAUAAGCGGUCUUUCCGCUCUUGUUUCUAAUAUAUUUAUUAGCACCCUUCUGCAAUAACAGCUUCACCAUUUGCUCAUAUCCCAAGCUUGCGGCGAUAUGCAAAGGCGUGUCACCGUCUCUAGCGUUGCGUAUAUCAGGCCUUGCUCCGUUUGCUAACAGAAGUCUCGCGCAAUCUCUUCUUCUGUCUUCAACCGCGAGAUGCAGAGCUGUGUUACCAUCUUUUGUUAAAGCAUUGACAUUAGCACCUUUGAUUAAGAGAAGCUUUAGUACUUCCAAAUGGCCGCCUCGUAAGGCCAAGUGUAUGGGCCCCCAUGUUGAUGUUCCUGAUCUUUCUGUGCUGGCUUUCCUCGCCAACAAGAGCUCAACAAUAAGUGCUUCCCCUGCAGCCGCCGCGGCUUCAAGUGGAGUACUGCAGCCACACCUGCCUUGAGACUCAACAUCCGGCCCAAACUCAAGCAAAAGUUGAACAAUAUCAGGCCUCCUUUGAGCUAUAGCAAUAUGAAGCAACGUUUGUCCCUGCGCAUCGGCAGAAUCAGCCGGGUUCCAAGCCGGGUCACUCCGCUCAAGAACCUCUCUUAAAUCAUCCAUUUCACCAUCCUUAACAAGCAGAACCAAAACAGGAGACCCAACGAACAUGAUCUUGAUUCCGCUGUCGAUGAACACUUGCUUCUUCCUCGUUGUGAACCAGUCACUGGGGACGGAAUCAAGCGUCGACGUUGCAUCUUUAAUUCCAGCUCCAGGAACAACAACGCUGUGCAAGAGGAAGGAAUCAUCACAGUGAGGGAAAGAAUCAGGAAGAACCGAUCCUGGAGGGAGAUGAUACGCAAUCUCUACGCUUAGUGUUGCGAGUGGUGAUAUGAUUCCUGAUUGCGGCUUCACAGUAUAACGAGCCUUGUUUGUAGGCUGAAUCCUGAAAGCAACAGGCAUCGUGUGCAUGACAUUGCGGAGAGUCAGCUCCCCGGAACAUUUCUGCCCUGGUUCAAUUCUGAUAGCUACAAGGUUCGACGGCUCCAAGCUUACAAGCCUAUCCAUUGAUUAAUUUUCUCUCCGUUUCCCAAGGACUGCUGAAAGGGGUUCUUUGAACUUUUUGAUUCAGGCUUAUUUUCUUCACUUUUGGUGGCAUGGGGAGGAAUUAGAGGAGUAACUGUAAGAGCUGCAAGUGUUGGUGUAAUCAACUGUAAUAUAAGGAGAAGAGAGGGCCGGCUCUAAUGGGAGACUGCCACGUGGUGGUGUUAAAAACAAUGAGACUUGUUCUGUUCGGCGUCCGGAGUGUAUAUACAGUUGUGUUAGUGGUGAAAGUUAAAGAAAUCCUGAAGUUAUUUUCGGAGUGGCUUCUGCAAAGUCACUUUCAGGAUUGUAUUGUAUCAUUAAAAAACAAAGCCAGUUUUUGUUGUUCUAGUAAAAGGCGAAUCAUUGGACAAACUCGUAAGAAUAUGUUGCCAAAUGUAUAAAAUAUGAAAUUCAAACAAUGAUUACAAUGUGAAAUUGGACAAUGGACAUGGCCUGUGUGAAUUGUUUUGUGGGCUUACUAAUUAAAUUAAUUCACUAAAAAUAAUGUCACUUUUGUGUCUGUGAAGAAGCCGAAAUGGCACAGUCAUUUACGUGGCCAACUACGGUGACUACUUCGUCAGUAGCUGCUCGAGCACUUGGUCAGCACAAGUUGCUUUCUUUCUUGGCGGGAUUAGUUUUUCUUCAUUGCUUUAAGUGGUGCAUUUCUGCAGUUUCAUUUUGCUUUGCUUAUGCCAUUGGAUUUGUGCCCCAUAAAUAAAUAUAUAAUUAAGCGGAAAAGUAUCAAAUUUUGAAAAAGCUUAGGUUUUGUGUGUGUGUGUGUGUGUGUGUGUGUGUGUGUUUUAAGCCGAAUUACUCGGCUAAAAAUUAAUCCGAUUAUUAUUGUUUUGGUGCUUAAGAUGUGACUCUAACCUAAAGCUCAUUUGAACUCUCUUGAUGCUCAUAUGGUAUUUUUUGUGUUGUGUCGUGCUGGCCCUUACACAUCUCGGCUCAUAUUUUUCAUGUUACUAAGUUCUAAUAUGUACAAAAGAAAUAGAGCAAUGUCCGGUGGUAGAUCCAAACACUCAAUUUGGGGUGCUUAUUUUUCAGUCUCAAAUUCGAUUAUUUUCUUUUAAAAUAUUAAAAUAAUAGUAAUAAAAUACUUAUUUUAAAUACUGAGCUCAUUACAACCACAUAUGUAAAAGUAUCAUUUAUAUUUUUUUUCUAAAUAAUCUUCACAAAAUAUUUUAAAAAAUAAAAUUAUGUGACUAUGGGGAUUUGAACCAAGUCUCUCAAACUACUAAAUAACACUUUUACCACUAAAUUACAAAUCUUUUAACAUAUUAAAAGUGCAUCCAAAUUAUUAUUAUUAUUUAAUUAUUUCAUAAGAGAUUUGGGGCACAUUUAAAAGAAAAAAAAUUAAUGGUGCAUAAAGGACUAAAGCCUCUCUUGAGUCCUUGACCUUAACUAGGUCCACCCAUGGUAAUGUCAGUGAUACCCAACUUGAAAAAUAUACAAGAAACUUGGAAAUUUAAAUUAAUGAAUAAAUAAAUAAAUAAAAGGAAACUUAGUGAUUGUAGCUGUUGUAUUGUAUUGUGGAUCAAAGAAUUACAAGUUCUUGGUUUCUCGGUAUUGGCUAAUUUUGAAGUUAAAUGAAGUUCGAAAAUAUUUACAAGCAAUAAAAUUAUCAACUGAAUGAGACAAGGAAAGAGUAUAAAGACCUUAGCAAAUUAGCAAUCCUUCUUUAAUUUAGUAACAGUGACGCUUAUAAAGUUAGAAGACGUAUCAAAUCUAAUUUAGAUUUUGCCCCAUAAAACUAACUUAACUUAUAGUGCGUCUUUGUUUAAUUAGUAAAUAUUCCACAAAAACUGAUCAGCACUUUAUAGGAAAUUCCAAACACGUUUAUAUUCACAAGGAAUAUGUCAAGGAGAAAUGAGAAUAAAAAAAUGUAAAAACUAAUAAAGCUUCAUUAAUUAGAAUUUAUAACCAUAUGUGCUCCUAUACUACUUUUAUUAUUAAGAAUUUGAAGUAGAAGGUAGUUGAUUAUCAUGAAAUUACAAAAUUGUAAACGGAUUUGUUCUUUUGGAAAAAGAAAAAAAAAAAAAAAGGAAGGAUAGUUGAUUACUUGAUUAGUGAGAAAUCAUACGUAUAAAGGACAAAUUGAAAAAUGGGACCUGAAUUGCAACAAAGCUUCAUUGGAAUUAACUGCCGAUAAAAUUAAAUUAGUAUCACCCUACCCUUUCAUCUUAAUAUAUUCGAAAUUUCACCGAUCAAAGUUUCUAGCUUCGAUUUUUACGAUCUCUCAUCCUAAUAACACCAAAAGCAUAUUCAUUCGUUUGUAAGAUUAUGUAACAAAAUAUAGUAAAUAGCCUAUAAUUUUUUUGUUUUACUACUAACCUGUUAUCAUUCUUUUCUAAUAAUACAUGUUAAAAUAUUCACAGAAAAAAUUUAUCCCUAUUACACCCAACCACCUUUUUUUGUGUUUUUUUUGUUCAAAUUUUAGCAUUAAAGGGACAAUAAUGUCCUAUGAAAUAUGCAGAAAGACAGUUAAUAAUAUUCAAAAAUGUAAGUGGAGGUAUCUUACGCCACACACACAAAUUACACGACUCUCAUUAAUGUGUUGUUGUUGUUAUGUGUGGCGUAAGUUACAGUUGAAUGUCAUAUUCAAAAAAGUAAGUGGAGGUAUCAAUCUCCCUAAAUAAAUAAUUUAUGGAAGGUUGUUAGCUGUUGUACUUUUAGUUAAUUUUAAAAUCACAAUAAUAUGGUUAAUGUUAAGUUACAUGCAUGUAACUUAGGAGGAUCCCAAUAAUAUACCAUAUUUUAUUAAUAUGUACAGUAUUUAUAAUAUUUAAAAAUUAAGGAAUUAAUGUACGCAUGUAAAAGCUGCAUUGGAGCCAGUUGGAAAUCUUACUGUCUUGAUAUAUGCAACGAUUGUAGCAGCUAAAAAGGCAUGAUAUUUACUUAAUAUUAUUUCAAACAAUAAUUAUUUAUUUAAAGCAAAUAAUAAUAAUGAGGGCAGAAGGACUAUUCUAGGAUCAAUAUGGUGACAGUAUAAAUAAAUAAUAUUAAUUAUUAAUGCAUUGAUGAGUAUUGUUAAAAUGACAUAAUAGGUUUGUUUCAUUGAAUUGAACCUUUUCUCUUAAAAUAGCUAUAAUUUGUUCUCUCUCUCUCUGUGUUUUUGUUUUUGUUUUUCACUUUAGUUUUACUUCUCUUAAAAAACCAAAAAAAAAAAAACAAAAUUAAUGGAAACUGAUGAUGGGAAGACGGACAAUUUUCUAUAUUGUUAAAUAGAAAUGGGCACAAAUGUGAGUUUUUUGGGGCAAAAAAAUAUAGUCAAUGUACGUAGCGUUUGUCUAUUUGAAAACCCGUCAAUAUAAAAACAGGACGUAAAGCUUUCAGACAAAGUACUCUUAUGGCCGUACUUUCCAUAAACCAAAUCAAAAGAAGGAAAAUAUUUGUGUCUGGCUUCGAUGCGACUGUUAACAUUCACAAAUAAACACCUUUGCAUGGUCAGAAAAAUUAACAAGAAAUUAGAAGGCGAUGUUGCGUUCUACUUAGUUCUCUAGGAUUUGUGUCAUUUGUUUAUGCUACGGUUCGUUCCCAUUUGCAUUGCGUGGAAUAAUUGGCCGAAUAUUAUUAAUCUCAAUCUUAAUCUCUCAACUCUUGUCCCUUUAAUUUUUGUUUGUAUCUUUUUCUUUUUUUUUUUAAAUAUCACAUACAAUGCUUUUAAUAAAUAACUUCAUAGAAAUAUUUAAUAAAAUCCAACAUAUAUAAGUUCAAGAAACUCAAAAAAUAAAAGAAAAUAAACUCACGUUGUCACUGGAGAGACUCAAACAUGCUACCUUAAAAUUAAGUAGAGGGUGCAACUACUUGCACUUUAAAAAAAGAAAAGAAAAAAAAAGGGGCUUUGAACGCUCGUGAUAAUUUGCAAGUUAUGGAGGAUAAUCAUUGUACAAUGGGGAGAACUCUUAUGGAACAAUAUUCAAACUGAUAUUGAAAGCAUAUAAGAAUUUGGCUUGGGUGUUUUGGUGCCAUGAAUGAGUGCAGAAACAAAGAGGAAGCUUUGUCCCUUUAAUUUGAUCUGCUGUAUUAUAAUUAUUGAGAUUAAUCAAAUAAAUAACCGAAACAUGGUUACAGUUUUAUAGUGUAUUGCAAGUCUUUGGAGAUACUAUGUACCUCAAAAAAAAAUAUCGUAUAAAAGAGUGUUUUGUUUCACAGGGGUUCAAUGAGAUUUGAGAUGGCUGUAAUGAAAGUGAUGUAAAUUUUUUGGACUCUAAUGAGGUGUUUUUAGAUGGAGGGGGAUUUACAAGUAUUUUAUAGGGGUGAUAAAUGACUGUAUACCCACCAAAAAGGCCCAUUGUUCGAGUCCAUGAGCAUUACAGUUUUUUUUUUUUUUUUUUUUGAAAUUCAGAACAUGCAGUUUGUUUGAUUCAACUUCCGAAUUACAAAAUUAGAAUAAGAAAAAAAAAUGUGGAUGUUUUUUCUUUAAUUUACAUAAUAAUACAUGGUGUGGACGAUGUCUAUUGAGGGAUAAAAGAGGAAUGGGGGCACUGUGAAGUUUGUGUUUUUGUUUUUUUUAAAUUAUCAUAUUCAUACUGUCUAUAAAAAUAUGCAAGUUAAAAAAUUACUCAUGAUAUUGUUGUUUUUGUUUCAUAUAAUACUACUUAUGCACAUCGCCUCAUGCAAACAUUUCUUAGUUAUGCUUAAAAAAAUGAGAUUCUCACCAUGGGUCACUGUAAAAAUCCACAGAAGCCGUGGAUCACAGUAGGAAGCCCACUUGAACAGAAGAAGCUACCGAAAGCUUCGACAUUGUAUUUAUGAAAUGCUUAGUAAAUUUUGUUUUAUUUUGAAUUUAUAUUAUAAAUGGUGUGUUGCUAAAUUAAAAAAUAAAAAAGAAAUGCAAUGUGUCAAAAUACAAGAAUCUUACGGACAUUUUUGUCACAAUAUAUGUAAAUAAUUCAUAUCUUAUUCAUAUCCUAUGUAAGCUUCACUUGUUUAACACAAUGGUGGUUGAAUCUUCAAAAAUUCAUAAUCUUAAACAACCAAAUUUGGAAUUAAUUAAGCAAAUUGCCUCUAUAAAUUGAUUACAACAACCAACGACGUGUGAAGCCACAUGUCAAUUUCCCUAGACAGCCCAAAUAUUGAGGCGCUGUGAGGGAGCAAGGUGCAAUCGGAUGGGGGAAAGAGAGAGAGCCAAUGGUGAGAAUGGAUCGUGGUGAGGGAGAACCAACUGGUGGUGAGAUUUGUGGCUUCAAUGAGGUGAGUUUCGUGGCGCUGUGAGUGAAGUGAGAUUUGGCAUGAGUGUGAGGGAGAAUGCGUGUGUUGUGUGAGUGAGGUAAGCUGUGUCUGUUGUGUGCAUGGAGACUCUCACCACAAUUAGAAUUUAUAGUUAGCACAGAACGAAACACAAUAUUCUACGCUAACUGUGGAGUUAACCAUGGUGAGAAUAUCAUUAUUGUUUAUUAUAACACUUUUUUUUUUAAUUUGUUUUGACAAUAAAAUAAAGAACCUUGUAAGAAAACCUCAAUAACUCAAUUAAAAAACCAACUCAACCGAUGAUAGGUAAAUUGAGAAAUUUUCAACUAAAAAUUAUUAAGAUUGGUUUUAACUUCAAAUCAUAGUCACAUAGUUUUGUCCUUAUAAAGAUCAAAAUAAUGAAUUCUAACUCCGAAGUUUUUAGAUUUAUGUGACGAACUGACGAUAGUAUAUUGAAAUCGAUUGAAAUGAAAAAUUUAAUUAAAUGCAAUUCAAGAUGUAGUAUCAAAUUCAAACGAUUCGGAUUGUUUUAAAAAUUUCAAUGCUUUAAUCUAAAUCGAUUAAUCAAUUACACUCUUGCAAUUAUAUACCGUUAAAACUAAAAUAUGUAAAAUUUAGGGUGCAUUUAUUACCAUUUUCAAUUUGUUGUUUUUCGUUUUAUGAAAAGGAAAAUACAGAAAACUUGUUUGGUGAGCUCAUAUUGGUGGAAAACUGUACAGUGAUUAAAAACAAAAAAAAAUUCAUUUUUCAAUGUUUACAAAGGAAACAAGAAAACGCUAUUACACUGGGUUCUCUAUUUUAUUUCACUUUUACUCUCUGCCAAGGCCCUACCAUCUUAACUUUUAUAACAUGGUGUAAUAAAUUACGUGGGCCCAUUUAAUAAAGAAAUAAUCUAAUAAAUAAAUUAUUAUAACAAAUAUUUAAAAAUAAUAGCAUUCCAUACCUUACAGCUUAAUUACUUAAUAUAUUACCCAAAUUAUUUUAAAUAAAAAGUGAUAUCAUAUAAUUAUUAUACUAAAUUAUUACAUUGUUCGACCAAUAUGCAGUUAUUUAAAAAUUACUACAAACUUUCUUACAUAUAUUAAUGAAAAUAUAUCAAUAAUAAAGUUACAUCUUGACAGUUAAUAUAAAUAAAUAUAUGAUAAUUAUGAAAUAAUUAAAGAUUUUCUCAAUUAAUAUUAUCUUAUAACUACAAUUUAUUUACAUAAUUAAAAGUUUUUAAGAAAUUAUUAAAAUAUCUUCAAACCUAUAUGCAUUUAUAAUAAUAUAUAAUACAUCAUAAUAUAAUAACUAAAUAGAUAAAUUAUUUAUUAAUAUAAAAUAUAUGUUUAUAUUCAUUAUAUAAUAUUAUUCUUUCAUAGUAGUUUCAUUAAAUAAUUCUCUACUCUCUCUCUUUUUAUCUUUAUUUUUUCGGACAGACAAGUAACCAAACACCGCUUCACCUUUUUUUUAUUUUCAAAUACUAUUCUUAAAAUAAACUACCAAACAUAUUUUUAUUUUUAACAAAAACUAAUCAUUUUUAUUUUAUAAAACAAAUUGAAAAGUACUAUUUAAAAUAUAAUACCAAACUUACCCUUAAUAAUUUUAUAUUUGUCAAAAAGAUGAGAAGCUAAGUGGCACUAUCGUUUACCUAUUCAAACUAAACGUGGAGUCACAAUAUUGAAGACACUUUGGUGGCCACAACACUCUUUUCUUUAGUACGGAACAAUCUGGCUUACAUGACACUACAUAAAAAUAAAUAAUAAAAAAUCACCGAUUCCAACUGCCCCGGACAAAAAACAGGCCACACGUAAAAAGGCUUCUAUUUUUAUUUUUAUUUCUCCCCAUUUUAAAGAUGACGUCAUGGUGAUUAUGAAACCAGAAAAUAACAAAUUUUAGUUGUCUGAUUUUGUAGUUAUCCAGCGAAAACUAAAAAAACAGUGAACGCAGCAGCAGAUCUCCGUGUUUGUCGUCGUUCGAUGAGAGAUUCCGAUUCGUGAGCAUCGCAAGUGUUGAAAUGGAAUCAGACGAAAUGAGGAGUUAGCCUCUUAUUAUAUAAUAAUAAUAAUGAUAAUAAUAAUAAUAACUAAUCUCUUUUAUCAUAUAAUUGAUAAUGGAAAUUCACAUUGACAAAAGGCAAAUUACACACUGACUGGGCAGAAUAAAAAACAGUCUCUCUCAAAAGCAAUAAUUUAAACACUAACACCACCUUAAGGAGACACCCCAAAAAUAAAGCAGCAAGCUCUUACUGUGACCACACACACACACACACACCAAACUUUUAUUAUAGAAUAAAUCUAAGAUGAUGGAUGAUGGAUGCGUCACAUAAAAGUUAAUUAAUUUAAUCGCUGUCACUGCUGCUGCUGCUCUCGUGUCCGUCCUCGUGCUUCUUCUUCUUCUCCUUCUUUUUCUUCUUCUCUUCACCGUGGGCGGCGCCCUCGCCGCCGCCGACACCGGGGAUCUUCUGCUUGAUCUUGUCCACCAAGCCCUCCUUGUGUUCGCCCUCCUUGUGUUCCCCGCCGUGAUGCUGCUGCUGAUGGUGAACAUCAGUAGUGCCGACACCGGGGAUCUGCUGCUUGAUCUUGUCCACCAAGCCCUCCUUGUGUUCGCCGCCGUGAUACUGCUGCUGAUGGUGGACAUCAGUAGUGUGGUGGUCCCCACUAUGGUGCUCUCCCUUGUGCUUGUCCUCCUCCUUUUGCCCUCCUCCCAUGUGAAGGGCUUCUCCGAUCUUGUGAAUAACUCCUGACAUUUUCCCUUAAAAUGACUCUGUUCCUCUUCUUUUCUUUUCAAUGAAAAAUAGUUGUUUGCGAUCUUCUUCUGGUUGUUGUUGUUCUUGUUGGGUGAUCUUGGCUUGGUAUUUAUAGGCUCCAAAAGGAGGGACUAGAAUUAGGAUUAGAUUAUAGAUUAUUUUAAUACAUUUUAUGGCAAAUUCUGAUUUGGAAAGAUAAGAUUAUCCUUUUGGUUUUCCUUAUUUACCCUUUUGCACCCAUUACGUGUACGCGUCUUCGUGGGCUUUUUGGGUAUUUCAAUUAUAUCGCCAAUGCUAAAUCGACACGUUGCAUAUCAGCCGCGGUACUGCCGUAUGUAGUUGUCCAGAAAUCGAGUCGAUUCUCGAUCGUACAAUAAUUAAAUAAUAUUUCAUACGAAAUGAGUUUAGAUAUAUUUUGAAAAUUUAUUUUUAAUUUAAUUAUACGUGUUAUAUAUUUGUUAAUCGAAUAGAGGUCCCACGUAACAGAGUGUUUCUCUAAUCUUUCAUUGCUUUUAAUUAAUUUUACCCAAAUAAAAAAAAAAAGGAAAAUUUAGAGAGAGAGAGAGAGAUAGCGAAUUAGAAGUUGAUUGUAAUAUCGACACCUGUCAGACAAUCAAAUAUCGUUAGUUAAAAAUCAGUUGUCCAUAGUCAUGGUCAUAGAUGGCGAAAUUGAUACUUAUUUUAAAAAACAAAACAAAACAAAACGAAACGAAACUAAACUAACAGAUGUUGAAAUGCAGUUCCGUGUUAACAGUCUGUGAUGAAUCUUUAUCUUUGAGUAUACCAUUCAAGAAAUUAUCAUUCAAAAAUUUAUUUAAAGCAGCAGCAAAUCACCUUCUAAUUCCUGAAUCAAAUUAAUUCGAUUUUUUUCGAGUCGAUCAAUUCAUUAGAGAAUUAACGGGCUAAGUUAAAGUUUUGUUAGUUAUUUUUUUUUAUAUUCCUUUAGAUGAUAUGAUUGUCAUUGUCUUUCUUUCUCUGGGCAACAAUAAAUACAAGAUGUGCAAAAGCGUAGUGGAACAUAAUUCGAUUAUGGGUAAAGGGAUCAGUCCGCAUAAUGAGGAUAAAGUUUUUCUCUUUAAAAAAAUUUAACCCAAAGAAAAGGUCGUAGUUUGUAAUAGCCGACACGCAGAUAGAUCACAAAGCAUGGCGGUCCUGAUGGCAAUAACUAACUGAUAUCUUCUGCGAUGAGAGGAGAUCACGUGGUUCUGACACGUAUCGCCCCAUCAACUGAUGUUGUGGCUGCAAUCGCGGCCCAGUCUUUAGAGAGAAGAAAGAUCUGUUAUAACGGGACCUACUUUAGCAUCUAUUUACGACAAAGCCCCUAUUUACUCUACUUAGUAGUAAUAAUAGCAAGUGUCGGGCUUGGAUUCCGUGUUGCUUUAAAUAAAUAUCCGCGUAAAAAGAAAAUGCUUCUUUAAUCCCUUCCUUGUAAUUUUUCGACACGUGGAUGGUUGAAAUUAGCGUGCCGACAUCUUAGGAAUUUUAUCUUGGAGACGGGAACACUGCAGUAGGCAAUGCCAUUUUCUUCGGAUGGUGUGUGGUGACAACGCCUUGGAUUUUGACGUGCAAAGAAUUUAAAUUGAAAAAGAAAAAAAGAAAUUACCAGAAUAAGCAUAGAAGAGAUAUUUUUCUUUUUGUCCUUUUUGGAAUGGAAAAAGAGAUCAAGAGAUUGUUCCAGUAAGUAUUACACAUGUCACAGGCUUAUUCAUGCCCCAUUAUGGCAACUUUUAUGCCUCGCGGUGCCCUCGGUUCCAGCAUAAUAGCUAAGACUUCAAUUUUUCUAACAUAUUUUUGUUACAAAUAUGAACGGAGUAAAUGUAUAACUUUAAUCCUUUGAAUAAAGAAAUGGCGGUUCUCCUGCUCGUUAAUCUCACUUGAAUCCCACCCAGGCAAAAUUUCUUUAUUUUAUUUAACAACAAUUUAAAGAAAGAAACUUUUGCCAGGUUGAAUUUCAAGUGAGAUUCAUUCGUGGGAGAAGUGCCAUUUCUUUAUUCAAAAGAUUAUGGUAAUUACAACUUUCAAUUUCGACAUAAAUUAAAAUUAUAGGCUAUACAAUAAAAUUGCCCUAAAUUAGUCCUAAUCAAUUCAGAUUAUAAAUUUAGGUAUAUUUAUUAUUUUAAUAUAUUAAUGUUCUAUAUAUAUAUAUAUAUAUAUAUAUAUAUGUGUGUGUGUGUGUGUAUNNNNNNNNNNNNNNNNNNNNNNNNNNNNNNNNNNNNNNNNNNNNNNNNNNNNNNNNNNNNNNNNNNNNNNNNNNNNNNNNNNNNNNNNNNNNNNNNNNNNNNNNNNNNACAGCAGAAAAUAUUUGCUAUGGAUAAGGAGACAUGGUCCCACGUCCCACCGUCCCAAUGCAUAUUUUGUAUGUUUCCAUCUUUUCUGAAAUUUUAAUAAAUAAAGUUUUUUGACCACUUGGCCAAAGAACCUUACCCUUACACAACUUUGUGGUUGGAGUCCUGUGAUACAUGUAAGAACUUAUUUUUUUUCUUAAUUAUAAUAUUUUAGAAUAUAAUUAAGUGAAGUAGGUUUUUUUUUUAAAUAUGAGUAAAAUAGAUAUUUUUUAAAUAUUAAAGAGAGUAAAAUUUGAAUAAUAAUAUAUUAAAAUUAAUACAAACUAAUUUUAAUAAUUAUUUAAUUAUAAAUAUCAAUUAUAACAUCAUAUAAUAUCAAUUAUAAUAUCGUACAUCUCAAUUAAUUCAAUAAUAAUAAUAAUAAAUGUUUUUUGGGAUAAGUAAACAGUCGCAUGGCGACAAUAGUGGAUCUGGAUUAGAGUGAAGUGGUCCCAAGAGGCUGAGGCUGUGGCUGUGGAGUUCUAAAAGUCAAAAGCUCCACGCACUUUGUUUCAGUACCAUACACACUGAAAAAAUUUGCAUUUGCAAUGACGAAAACUUUUCACGAAAUCAAAACACCUCUAAACUAUUUUGUUAUCGAUAUUUAAUGGAGGGGUUUCCUACCUUUUUAACACUCGAUUCACGCCUUGACGCAUCUCACAGAAAACCUCAUGAUCCCAUUAAUCUUGCGUAACAUAUCUCAAAGCCAAUGCAAGUGAUCUUGUUGCCUACUUCCCUUUGACGAUUCAAAAUUGUUGAAAAUAAUUCUUUUUUUUUUUAACCUCAAGGAAGUGACAAAAUAUAAAAGAAUAUUUUCUACACAUUAAACAUCUAGAUUUUUUUUUCUUUUCUUUUUAGAGUACUUGCACAAACCGUUUCCAAGAGAGACCUUUUUUUUUUUUUUUUUUUUCCGGGCUUGGUUACUAAUUUGGUGUGAAUACUCUAUGGUGAAAAAGGAAUCACAAAGCUGUAAUCAAUUUUUUUGCAUCAUUUAGUUGUAACUUGAACAUUGGGAGGUUUAUAAAGAAUUAAAUUAAUUAUAAUGCCUCUACUAGGAAAAGUUCAGAGUAGCCCUUCACAACUUUUUAAAGGCUUAAUAAUUUUCGCUUUCUUCCUCUCAUAACAUAACAAAAAAUUAAGAGCUUUACUCGUACACGUCCUAUGGCUAUAUAGUAUUGGGUUCUCUACUUCAAUCGGCUAUCUCAAACCGAAGGUUAUUUGGACACACCAGCAGUCACGUUUGGAAACUCUCAAAUGCUUGGAUUGUAAUUCUUGUGGAUGAGAUCAUCUAAAUCUUGGGCCCAAGCCGGACAAUGGGUGGACAAAGAACCCUAAAAUACAGUAAAGCUUCUAACACCCCACUAAAACUCUUAAGAAAUCCUACCUUUUAUUUUUAUAUCUCUUUCUUUUAGAAAUUAUAGAGAAGACAUAGCAUUUUAAUUAUUUUCCCUGCCAUUGAAAAUAAAUUCUGUAAACAUAUUUUUUCAUAAUAAAAUUAUUGUUAUUAGAUAAUUUAUUUCUUCAUUGUUUCAAAAUUAUUAUAAUUUUAUCAACAAAAUUAGUUAUGUCAUAUAUUAGGAUUAAAAUUAAUUAGGAUCCAUAACUUGUAAAGACAUUUUAGUUUAAUUGAAUUCAUAUUUGUCAUUUUAUGUAAUUUUCAAUAAAAAUACGACUAUGAGUGCAAAAGUGGGAUGACAUAAUAUUAAAAGAGUGUGAAAUAAUCGGUAAUUGAAAUGGAUUGAAAUCAUAAUAGAGUAUGAAAAUCAGAAUAAAUUGUUUACUUUAGUUGUAGAAAUCAAAAUUAAAAUAAACCAUAUUAUCAUUGAUGUAUAUAUGUUUUCUUGUAAUCGAAAUGAAUUCUUAUAAGUUACUAUAAGACCCUUAUGGUGUGUUUACUAAUCAGAAAUCAGAAUGGAGUGGAAUUUGAAUAUAGAAUGGUAGGGGUAUUCGCGGAUCGGAUUUUACGGAUUGGACAUUAAUUCAUAUCCGAUCCAUAAUUUUACGGAUUAUAAAUUCUCAACACAAUCCAAAUCCAAUCUAUAUGUUUGCAGAUCGGAUGCGGAUUUGACUCAAUUCAUAUCCAAUCCACUAUUUGACGGAUUGAUUUUGGAAUUAAAAAUUUUUAAUUUUGUCCAAUCUAUGAGGUAAUUAAAUUUAAAAAUCUAAUAUAAAAAUAAUUUAUUAAAUAAAAAAUUAACGUAAAAAUAAUUUUACUACCAAUUAAAUUCAAAAUUGAACAAGAUUUAAAUAAAUUAAUUAUUUAAAUAAAACUAGAAUAAUUUAUUUAAAAUUUUUAAAUAUAACAUAUCGAAAAAAAAUUCAUUUGUUUAGAUUAAUAUAUGAAAAUUAACUAAAAUUAUGAAUUUAAAUGUUGAAAUUUGAGAGCUUGGAUGUAACAGGAAGAAAUUAAGAAACUUGAAGAACUUGAAAAGAAAGUAACAAAUUAAGCUUAACUACCUCUAAUGGUGAAGUGAAACAGUGAUGGUUUGUGCGUGCAAUGGGGUACAAAUUUGGCAUUAUAUGCCAAAAUAUUUUGUUUGGCUUUAGAAUUUUUAAUGUUUAGGAAGCUAUAUUUGUUUAUUUAAUUACUCAAAUAUUUAAUUAUUUUUUAUUUUAUGUUAUUAUUGAAUAAGAUAUAAUAUUGUGUUAAUUUAGCUAUACUUUAAUUAAUUAAUUAAUUUAUUAGUAAGUAGCAUUGCUACAUUUAUAAGUUUUAUUUUUUAUUAAAUAAAUACUUUUUUUUUUCAGAUUCACGAAUUUUUACGGAUUUACAGAAAUAAAUCCAUAUCUAAUCCAUCGACUGUGGUUUUUUAAAUUUUCAUUCCAAUCCGAUCUACCAAUCCACAAAUUAUAUUUUUACGGAUCGGACGAAUUGAGCGGAUCAAAUUGGGUUCUGAACACCCCUAGAGAAUGAGAAUCAAAAUAAAUUAUUUACUUUAGUUGUGUGAAUCGGAAUUGGAAUAAAUUGUACUGUCAUUGAUGUGUUUACUUUAUCUUGGAAUCAGAAUGAAUAAUUUCAAAUUACUAAACUGACCUUAAUUUUUUAUUGUAAUAAUAAUAGUAGUAGUAGUAGUAAUAGUAGUAAUUUUCUAUUAUUAUUAUUAUUUUCUCUCUCUUUUGUUUUUAUUUUUUUAUUUUUCUCUUCUUCUUCUCUUCCUCUUUUUUUAUUUUUCUCUAAUUCAUCGAUACUUCUUCUUCUUCUUUUUUCUUUCGUUUUUAUUUUUAAUUUUUCCCUUCUUUAUCGUUCCUUCUUCUCCGUCCAUUCUCUAUCUUCAAACUCUUUUUACUUUUUCUCUUAUUCUUCAUUACUUCUUCUCCCUUUUUUUUUUUUUUCUCUUCUUUAUUAAUUCUUCUUCUUCUGCGUCUAUUCUUCAUCUUCAAAUUAUCAAGUGAAAAAUACCCACGGUGCCUUACAAGAAGAAUUGGUUUUGUUUGCUUCAAUUAUUUUUUGUAUUUUGUACUUUUGAUUGUUUCAAAAGAGGAUAAACUUGUAAUAAUGCAAUUUAAGUAGGGAUGUUUUAGACAAUUUUGGGUAUGAGAGUCUAAUUCCCAACCCCCCACUCCCUCGUAGCAGACUCCCAUUCUUCAUUCCUAACUUGGUGUUGGACCUACUAAAAUAAAUCCCAUUCCCCUUCUUAUUUCAAGAAGCAAACACGAUUUUGAUUUCAAUUCCCCAAUCCGAAAGUAAACGCACAAAAAUUGUACCCAUAUGAGAUUGCUUAUCCUCGAGUUUUUAGAUUGAAAAAAAAAAAGGAAAAAAGAAUGGCCCCAUUAGGAAGGGAUUUUAAGUGUUAGAUAAAGCCGGUGUUAACCAUUAGAAGGUCUCCGACCUUCAACUGUAAUAUAUUAAACCCAGAUAAAUUUACAUAUAAAUCACACAAACCAACAUGCCAAUCAAAUAAAUUACAUCAACUAACAACAAUUGACACAUUAAUUUUCAUAAUACAGAGGAUGCAGAAAAUUAAAAUGUUUUAUCUUUUCUCCUUAUUUGUGAAUUGGAAAAUGAAAAUGUUAAACAUACAGAAGAGUGAAACAGGAUGGAUAUAUAUACACACACACACACACACAGCUUUGGAGUUCAAUGUCAUCGUAUUGCUCCAAGAAGAUUGGCGCCAUCAAGCUUUGCACCUUCCAGAUGCUGUUUAAUCAUCACCAUAACACCUUCAGUAGACAUUAAUACAUAAUAGAAACACAAAAUUCACAUGAUCUGAAUGUCUGGUCUAUUUUACUUACCGUAUCUCGAAGAUUUACGUGCCGUAAAUAAGCUCUUUGAAGGUUGGCACCCUUUAAAUUGGCAUUACGUAGCUUUGCACCCUGCCGCAUAAAUGUUCGAAGUUUCAACAAAUUAAAGUCUCCUGAGAAAUACAUGUCACGAAAAAGUAGGGCUGAAACUUGCAUCUAAUGUACAAGAUUCAAUCAGGGGUGCUUGUCCCACAGUGAAAGUGUAUGGGGGAAAGUGCACUUUCACAAACCAAAGGGGCAAGAUGUGAUUAUCACACGAUUACAAAAGGACUGUAGUCAAGAGAGAGAACUGAACAUGCAGCUUGUAUUGAGGCCAUGAAAAUUGAUGAAAAGCAGUAACAAGCAACCAUUUUGAAAACACUUCAUAUGGUCGAAUCAAUAAAUCAAAGCUAAAAUGAUGUUGACGAUCGAUAGCUUUUAGGUGAUAAGAGUCUUGGCACUACAGUUAAAAUUAUUAUCUAGGAGUGCACACAUUAAUAAAAAAAAACACAACCAAUAAGCAUGCACUCUUAAUCAGCAUAUAAAUUAACAAGUUAGUUGCACCUUAUGUUGUUCCACAAACAGAUUGCUCGAACAAUUCACAAUCUUACCUUCAAAUUAGCUCCUUCCAAAUUAGCUCCCUCUAGGUUGGCAUUAGUAAGAUCAGCAGUCUGAAAAGUCAAGAGGACAAACAGAUUGCAAUUUGAUUAAAAUCUCAAAGUAGCAACAUUCUGCAUGAAAGAAGAGCAGCACAAUUGGCAACAUACAUUUUAGAUUAAGAGGAUGGGAUAAAAGCAAAAUUACAAGGACAUGAAGCAAAUGAGCCAUGUUUAGUAUGGCAAUUUUGACCCAAUAAUUGUGGCAGGUCUUGGAGAUAACAUAGGCAUACACAUAAGGCAGAAGCAAAUACUGUCGCAAACUCCUAGCUAACUACAAAUGUUCCAUAUAGAAAAAAACACCUGCAAAAGUAAGGGAAAAAGCAACAGAUAAAGAACUCAAGAUGCUAGACCUGUAAGUGUGCAGAUCGCAGGUCUGCUCCACAGAAGCUGCAGUCUAUCAAGCAAGCAUCUGCAAUGAUUUAAGAUAAAUUUGAAUCCAAAUGACAUUUUACCGCAAGUAGUUCCAGCCAUUUUGGGAACAAACAAGAAAUGCUAUUUUGUAUUCAUUGUAAUUCCUUAAGCUAAAUAACAAUCAUGUGCUAUCUUAACCAAGGUACAGUUGCAAAUUCUGAAAUUGUGAUGCCAUAGGUUGUUCUUAAUCUUUUUGAACUGAAUAUUGAAAAAAUAUUCCUUCAAUCAUAAAUGUUAAAUAAUUAAAAGAACUGUGAGGGGGGNNNNNNNNNNNNNNNNNNNNNNNNNNNNNNNNNNNNNNNNNNNNNNNNNNNNNNNNNNNNNNNNNNNNNNNNNNNNNNNNNNNNNNNNNNNNNNNNNNNNNNNNNNNNNNNNNNGGGGGGGGGGGGGGGGGAAUGAAUAAGCGGAUGCAUACAGAAAAUUAUGGAAAAUCUGUUAUGGAAAUAAUAUGAAAAUGGGUAUGCAUAACUACAUACUGAAUCUUGACUAAUUUCAAUUUAAUUCAGAUAAGAAAUUCCAGUAUGGGAAUUGCCUUGUAAAUUUGCACUCUGAAGAUUUGCACCAGCUAGUAAAGCUCCACGAAGGUUUGCCCCAGCAAAUUCACAUCUUCCCUAGGCAAGAUAAAACCCUUAAAAGGCAAUUUUGAAAAAUACAUAUAAUUGGGAGAAUAUCCAGUAUUGCUUUGACUCUCUUACUCACGCAAAGUUGCAUUGUGAAAAAUGGAACCCUCAGCAUCCACAUCCUGUAUCAAGAACAGACAGAUUCAGUAUGAUUAAUAUAACUGGUUGCUGGAAGACAGGACAAAAUCGCAUCUUGUCACUGUCAACUUGCAUGUUAAGAAUUAAACACGAAAACUGCAUGCUGUCCAAUUAUAAGAAACCUAUAAAAUUCAAAUCAACAUCAAUACUGGCUUAAGGAAGAUAUAAAAAUAAAAAUUAUACCAACCCGAAAUUUCGCAGAUUGAAGAUUUGCACGUGAGAAGAAAACAUUUCUAAGACACGCAUAGCUGAAGUCCACAAGUGAAAGAUCCUGGCCAUUUUAAUAAGAUAGCAUCAGAGGAAACAAUAUCUAAUGAAUAUAUAAUGUUCUUUCUUGCUUAUCUGAGAAUACUAAUGAGAUUAUCAAAAAAACUCUAAGCUACUGCUAAGAAGUCUUGUGUUACAUGAGUAUGAAUUGAGGAGGUAAAGAAGACCCUUCUCCAAUAAGUUACCAUAGAAGCCACAUAAAACCCUAAAGCAGUUACAAACUUACAAUGACCAGAAUAAACCACCCCAACUAUCUAUUGGCAAGUAAAAUCACUUCUCUGGAUUUCUGAAAACUAGCAAAACAAAUGCAUAAAUUGGCAAAUUCGAUGAUUUCCUCUGAAAACCAAAUUAUAGCAGACAUAAAACUUGGAAGUAUUCAUAGAAUAAAAAUCUUUCAAGCACCUCAAUUCAGUAAUUAUUACCAGCUUAGAAAGAUCAAGGCCAGAAAGAUUAAGUCCUCGAAAUCUGACUUUUUCAGACUGUAUACACUUGAUGAUAUCAAUGCGUGUUAGCUCAGUAUCUAACUCAUUAUCUUCCUUUCUCUUAUUUAUGACAGCAUGGAUUCUCUCAAUUAGUCCCUGAAAUGAAACACAUUAGAUGCAAACUAUUAUUUGAAAAAAGAAAUACAUUUUAUCCACUAACACACAUGGAUUUCAACAGCAAUCAUACAAUAAUUGAGGAAGGACGGUCAUAUCAGACUCAUCUGCCAAGAUUCAAUAAGCACAUCAAACUUGUUUACAUGUAAUUUCCACAUUCCACGUGAAUUUAUAAGGUCUGCCUAAGCAAACCAAAGAAGGCUACACUCAGUACUGUGUGUAUACUGCCUUACCUUUGCUGUUCCCCAGAUACCGUCCUGCAAUCCAGAUACUUAGCUGUGAAGUUUCAAGCCAGCGAAACCAUUUUAAAAGUACACAUGGACACAGAUACCAUUAUCUGAAUCAUCUUCGAUAACAAAUUAAAAUGCCCUAGCGUUCAAAAAACUUAGGAUCUCUUUAAGUGAAGUUCCUUUAAAAAAGUAGAAAAAAACUGAACAACAAUGUCAUGCUAAUAAAAGGUAAAAAAAAUAAAAUAAAAUAAAGCAUAAGGACAGAAGUUCACCAGGAGCAUGCCAGUAUAAACCAAAACGACCACAAAUCUCAACCAUAAAAUUUAAAGUAGUAAAGUAAAUAAUCAAGGGCAUGCAGUUGGCACAGGUGCUUCCAAAUAAAAUGAUGAUUCUUUUCAAACAGAAAAAAGAAAUGGAUGUUAAUAAACUAGAAGAAACCAUGUCUUACAAGUAAUUGAUAAUAUUCUGCUUCCCGUAGAAGCUCUAAAAACUCUGACUCUGUUAAUGUGGGGACAGCCCCAUCCCUUAACCAAUUCAGAAUAUGCCGAAAAUGUUUUCCGUCCCUAUCAACAAAGAUAUAGCCCUGCAAUAAUUCAAUAUGCUCAAAGAUAAGAAUCUGAAUAAUAUACCCAAGAGAAGUGCUUUUCCCUGGAAUAAUAAAAAGAAAAUAAGUCAAAACGUUUUUCUUAAUGGAAGAACACAAAGGAACAGCUCUAUGACUAACAUGAAAACCAUAAAUCAGAAUAAGAACCCAAAACUGGUCAUUUGGAGUUUCACCAGAUCAAAAAGAUCACAUGGAAAUAAAAUUGUGAAAAUGGGAUUAUUUAUGCCGAGGUCAUGGCUAAACUGCAAUCAUUACUCCAUUUUUGGUAGAAGGAGAAGAAGAAAGAAGAGUAGGUGAGUCAUCAUUCUUUCAGGUGAGUCAUCAUUCUUUCUCUGUGAUUAAUUGAUAUGAUGGAAGUGUUGUAGAUAUUAAUUUGAUAGUGAUUCCUCCCUUCAAAAGAAUUCAUUCCUUUUUUUAUUAUUUCACAAAGUUUAACUAAGACUGAGUUUUCUCAAUUUGAAGGCAUCGUGCACUCUACCCCUUUCUUUUCCUCACAUUGCUUCUUCCCAAUCCCAAAGGGAAGAAAUCAAGAAACAAUUACAAUUUUUAACUAUUCACCAGCAAAAACAAGGCAAAGAAAGAUGCUGAGUGUAAGCAAAAAUAAGAGAGUUAUACACCUCAGAGUCUUGGCACACAGUAUGGCGACCGCUGAACAUAGCUGCAAGCAUAGAUUCAGGCUCACGACGAGUCAGAGUAUCAAUUGUUGUAUAAAAUUUCUUUCCCCCUGGAUAUUAAUACAUAAAAUAUAAAUUUGUUCACUUAAAAGCAUGAAUUGUGCAAAUUUGUCAAUAAUGUCAUUCUUUCACAAACGUUCACCGAAAUGUAUAACAAUAAGUGCAUCAUAACAUAACUAAACGGCUUAAGAACUGCGCAGAUAUUACAUACAGUAGAGAAACAAGAAAUAGAAAAUGAGAUUUGCCCUUUUUAAACAGAAAGCAAUCAAAGAGUAAACUAAAGAGCUAAUAAUUCACAAAAUUCAGUUGAUUAAACUCAUUUACAAGUAAUUAGCAACAAAAUCCAAGCUAAAUAAAAAUAAUGAAAAUUAGGUUCUUAUAACAUCCGUCAAUUCUAUGAAAGUUUACCACGAUCAGCAACAAAUAGAUAAAUCGCAAUAAAGAAAAACCGACGACAUGUCGGUUGUGUAGUGCAUAAGUAAAGGAAUUUGCAGAUGAUGUAAAGAGAAUGAGGGAUAGUAACUGACCGAUGUUGAGACGAACCAUUGAAGACGAAUCGGAGUCCUUCGCCAUUGUCGAGUGUAAUGACUUGUCGUCUUACUUGCGCUCAUAGGUAUUUAUAUCAUAGCUGACACUGUUCGAAGGACAGCAAGGAUUUGGUGGGCACAAAUGCAUUUUGGAAAUUGGGCUUCGGCCCAAGAAAUCGAAAAUCAGAGGCUUUUUUUUAAAAAAAAUUUAAAAGGAUUAGAAUGUCUAUAAAUUAAUAGGGCUGAGACCAUCUUAAAUCUAUUAAGUAAAAGAGAUAUUAAAUAUUUUAUUAAUUAAUAAUUUAUUAAUUUACAGAAUUAUUUAUAAUUCAAUUAACAUACAUUUAAUAACUAAACAUUCAAUGUACAUAAUUUCUGAUUACAAUUCAAAGCACUAACAAUACUUCAUAAUUUCUUAUUACAAUUCAAGAAUUCAACCUCAUAGCUUUUAGAUGCAAUAAGAAAAAUAAGAAAUAAGAUUCAGUUAUAUUUAAAUUUUAAGAAAAAAACAAUAAAAUCAUAUUUUAUGUAAUUAAAAUAUCAUAGUCAACUACAUUUGUAAUUUCAACAAAUUAUUACUCUAUGAUUUAAAUGAGACCACAAAGUUAUAUAAGAUUUUAUCGAAAUUAUUAAUUUAAUCCAUUAGUCCAUGUCAAGACCUUGAAAAUUUAAUAAUUAUAUAAUAGAGAUUAUUAAUUUAUCGAGUAUUAAUUUAUAGAAGUUCUGAUUGUAUAUUAUUUUAUAUUAAUAAAGAAUAAAGUAGCAUUCUUUUUUAAUUCCGAAGUAAUAAAAUUAUGGCUAAAUUAAGAGAGUAGAUAUAUUUUAUAACUUGGUUUAAUAACAUCACGCGCCUCCCUUGUAGUUUUGCAGCUUUGAAGCUUUAUAAUGAAUCCUAUUAGCUUUGGCUGGAAAGUUAUAUUGUUAAAGAGAGUUUAUAUAUUAAACAAGGUGAUCUAAUAUUUCCAAAACUAAAUUUGGGAUCAAAAAUAGAAAACAUUUGCAUGUUUUUACCUUUUGGAAGAAUUACUUGAUAAGUGCUUCACAGAAAAAUGCUUGCUAUUAUAGAGCACCCUAAAAAAAAUCCUUAAUAAUUGAGGGAUCAUAAUAAAGUUCAAUUCUAAAUCUGUCAGAUAGAUCGAAAGUAACAAACCAUAUAUAUUUAAAUCUAUUUAGUAAUCCAGGGUUACAAGCCAAGCGUGCAAUAGCCAAUUCUGAAAAUCAAAGCUCAGCCUAUGCUCUCUGAGCACAAAUAAGAUCUGAUAUAUACAUAUCGAAUCCUCCAUUAUGUGGAGUGAAAUUUCCAUCGUGUACGGUGUACCUAACAAUGAGAAAGCAUGGCAGCAUAAAUUCAUCUUCCAUGUUAUUCUACUUAUUAGUACUGGUUCCCUCAUAACUUCUCCAAAUCGGGGAGGUCUGCAAUGUGUAAAGCACGUAAUCAGAUAAAAGAAAGAGAGCCAAAAAAAAAAAAAAAGGUAACAGCCAAAAGAUUAAAUUUCUUUGAGAAAUAGAAAAUGGGAGCUUUUGGCAUAGGCACAGAAUAGAAAGUAACAGAGUCAUUUACAGUUGUUCAGAAUAUGCAAGCUGAAAACAACUUUGAAUGCAAUGGACAAUUCCUCCAACAAACAAUCGAAUUGGAUUGUGGAAGAGACAAAAGCUUAAUGAGGUUAUGGUUUUGGCUAGGUGAACUCAAAAUUCUUUUAUAGACCAAGUAGGUAAAAACAAAUCCCAUAUAGAUGGAUGAACCUCAUACCAUGAACAGUUAAUCGCGAACACUUGCAGGCUUAUGCACACGACUAUGAAGAUACUAAGGGUUUCACCGAUGGUAAGUGAAAAAUAUAUGAUGUAUAAUUUAAAUGGAAGCACAUAGUUUCGGAUUGAAUUCAAGGUUAAAGUUCCACAGACAGACAGAAGAGAUGAAGCUUAAAAACUUACAGAGCAUUCCUUCAUCAUCACUGCUUUCAUCAUUUUGGCCAACAUGCUGAAAAAAGAAUAUGAUUCAAGUUAAAUGAUUGAGCAACAAUAAAAAACGUGCAAAAUUAAUGCUCUCUCCACAAAAAUUUCAGUCUAUAUUGGUAAGAAGAAACAGGAAGAAAAAAUUACCUCAGCAUCAUCGUCAUUGGAAGCCAAAUCAGCUGUAAAGACCACAAAAUGUUUGGUUAGAACCAGUGGAAGUCUUACUCUAAAAUUUUUAAUUUUUGAAUUUCGAAAGAUCUCGUAAUGACAAAGAUUUUCAUAUCCAGUGACCAAGUUUUGAAAAUUAGAAUACGGAAUGACAUCAACUAAAUUCACUAAUAUAAGCUAGAGGAAUCCCUAGUAGAUAUAGCGCACAUGCACACAUGAUAUGCAUCCGAAUACACAAUAAUAAAUUAUCUCAAAGUCAAUAAGAAGCCAAAAUUAGAGAUAAACUUUUAGCCACUAUAAGGAAGACUGAUAUUUGCAGUGUGAUUACAAUAAACAAACAGAAACUUCACUACCCAUAAGUAAAACAAAAUAAAUAAAGGAUAAUAACUAACCAAGAAAUGGAAAAGCUCACAUUCUCUGAACACGCACCCCAAAAAGAAAGAAAGAAAUAAAUGUUCUCAUUGGAUCUGAAGCACAAGCAAUCCACUGACAUCCUUCUAUAAUUAGGUAAUUUAAAGGGGUUAAGCUCACAUCUUUUACGGAAGUAAGAAGAGAAUUAACAACCUUCCAGAGGAUUUAGGGAAAUACCACGAGGCAAGAAAAAAGAAAUAUCCUUCUUCAAUCUAGAUAUCCUGAUACUGCUCACCAUCUACAACAGUCUGUGGCUUAAAAAGCAGGUCACUGAUCUCUCCCUCCCUCUGGCACCAUUUUCUCUCAUGUCUCAUUUUUCCCUUCCUGCCAACUCCCACUACAGUAUUGAAACCUAUUCUAUCAACUCUUCCCCCUCCAAUAACAAGACCAAAACCAAUUUUACUCGCCGGUUAGCUAGGUAGUAAAUGGAAAUUUGUGAAUCUGUCAUUCAUCCGUAGAAACAAACCAGAACUGCAUAAAUUCUCUUCUCUCCCAACAGCUUCUUUUCUCCAGAAAUAGGCACAAGUAUUUGACAUGGAAACAGUUUAUCUAACAUGGCCACCUUUAAAGACAAAGACAUACUAAGGACGUGGUUUUAGAUACGGAUACAAGAAACAAUCACAAAAUGUAAAAUCUAUACAUAUGAUAUUAAUUUCCAAUGGAUACAGCAAUUCAUUCUUUGACAUAACUUCAUCAGAUUACUAGGUUUGAUUAGGUUAUACACACAUUUAUUCAUUUAUUGAAUCUACAUGCACUUAGAAUGAGAGGUACCUAUAAAAACAAGUUACCAGAAAACAAUACAGCUAGAAAACAUUAAUCUAAGUAGUUCUAUAGGUUUAACUAACUGCAGGAAAAAACCAUUGAUUUUGUCCGCCAGAUUAUCGAGAUCCUAAUUCUGGUAAAAAGAAAAUGAGAUAAUAGAAAAUCAAAAAUUAAAUAGACACAAAAUGAGAAAUCAAGAUCAUAUGGCAACUAAUAUAUAGCAUGGGCUGCAGCUAACAAGCAAUAUAAGCCAUGAUAUUAUGCCAGAUACAAAUUUUGAGAUCCAAGAGAGAUCAAGAAGCAUGAAUACCACUAAAAUAUCGAAAGAAGUGAGUGCAGAAGGAUAAGAAAUCAGGUUGAUAUUCUUCAUACUUUGGAUCAACACGUAGUGAUGCAAUAAACUUGUAAUUAGCUUCAAAUGUAUAGGCUACCAUGUCAACAUUUCCGAAAACACACAAGAUUGUGCUGGAUUCAUACAUAGUACAUAUAUAAAAAAACAAUCUGCUUCUAAACUUCAUGAGAACAUCGAAUAAUGAACUUACAAUUUGAUCCCUCAUCAUCUUCAUCGCACCAUUUGUUCCAAUCAACCUUAAUGUAAGGUGCUGGUUUCUCUUCUGACUUGAGUAGCCUUUUCCACCAACCUUUCUCUUCUUUUUGGACCGAGCAUAUUAUGUUCCUUAAGCCAACUUUAGUCUUACAUUUCUGCACCACCAGCAACAAAACUCAAAGCAUUACAAAAGAGGUAUAUUUAGCCGCUCUUGACUCGAGUGAGAGAACAGGAUAAAUAGCCUAGGUAUAUCCACAUCCAUGUUAUGAGAUUGAUUAUGCAACAGCUAACUUUAAUAUAAAGCUUUUGCUUCAACAAAGACUAAAAUGUUUGUAAUUGUUAUGCUUUUGGAGCUAAAAUGUUUGGCAAACACCCACUUUUACUCUGCACCUAAUAUCUACCACCCACCCACACACUAAGUCUCUCGUUUGGUACAGCUAUUUAUCAGUAGUGGCUUUAAGCCACAACAUUUAAAGCGAAUUUACCCUAAAAUUUUACAAUGAAAAACCUAUACUACCUUUAACAUUGUUGUCAAAAUUAUUAUUAUAAGUAAUAUUUACCAAACACUAUCAACUUCCAAUUCAUAUCAAAGAGCUUUCACUCCACAAUAGCCGUGUCUUCUUAAGCCAGAACAACACAAUACCAAAGGCCUUAAGCUAGUGAUUUGAUUUCACAACAACUGCAGAUCAAGCCUCAAUCCCAAACAUACAUAAAUCAAAUGCAGAAAGCAAAAAUUUAACAAUAUGUUUGGUAUACUAAAUGUCUUUCAUAGUUUCAUUUCACAGGGUAUUUAGACAUGCAAUGAUAAAUUGGAGCAAUUUCAAGAACCGAAUUGACCUCAGGUAAAAUUUUGCCAAAAAGUUCCAAGCUGAAGUCGUAAAGCUCGCCUUGGACUCCGACGGCCGAGAAGCCAAAAAUCCCCUGAGGCUCGCAUUUCACAGAAAUGUCUUUCGCAUCGGGUAAUGAAAUGGUAAGGUAUACUUUAUCGGAGCGCUGAGCCCAAAGAACCUCCGGAUGGCGACUGAACAUAAAAGAAAUAAUAAUAAUAAUAAUAUUAUUAUUUUUUAUUGUGACAAUUUUGAACUAAUAAUUAGAGACAUUUAACAACAAUAUUGAUUAAUAUUGGAGAAGAAAAAUAAGGUUACAAGAGAGAAUCAGAAAGAUUACCUCAUUCUGGUGGAUGAUUGAAAACGGUGGGUCGAUUGAUGAACAGAAGUGUAACUGUCUGGGAGUGAGAGUGACUCUGCUGUUUACUGGGUAGAGUGUGCUUACUCGAAGAAAUUGAAAGUGAUAAUCUCGGGCAAGCCAACACGUCGAUUUGGUCAACAGUGGUCCAACAAACCAGGAACUAGGUUUUUUUUUUUAAAUGAUUUUUUUUUUCAGUAUUAUAUUGCCCCGCCCGUGGGCUAUUACAUUUUGGCCCUUUUGGGGACCCCUCGUUCUCUUACAAGAAGGGAAUAUUCUUUUCCAUCCACCGGUUUGUAGGCAGAGUACAUAUACUCUUCGAAAUUAAGGACAAAUUUCUGAAUCGUGCCGCAUUAGAAUUAAAUUGAGUCUCAAAAGAAUUUUGGUUAUAAGUAUAUCGUUCAAACGGUAAUAUAUUAAAAAAAAUAAUAUUUACUACAAUGUAGACCUAUCGGGACUUUGAAGCCCAGACCAAUUCUUGAGUCUAGCCUAAUAACACCUCAACAGAUCAAAAUUGAAAUCCAACUUAAAUUUCAAUAUUGUGUAGGGAUCUGCCUUAAUUUAGAUAUGUCAAGACCUGCCUUAGGCAUCAAAGUGAUCUAUCUUAACAUAACUAAGACUUUCUUUAAACAUCACAAUGAUUUAUCUUAACGUAGUCAAAUCUAGCCUAAAAAAAUCUAAAGAAGGAAAAAAGAAAUUAUUUUCACGUAUUGAGAGACUUAAAUUCUUAACCUUAUUCAUAAGAAAAAAAAGUGUAUUACUUAACUAAAUCGUGACUAAAAAUUAUAAUUAUUAUUUUUUGUACAUUUAGCUUUAAAAAAUCAUUAUAUAUAUAUAUUCAUAUAAGUUUUGACAUAAUAUACAUACCACUUAUUUGUUUUUUAAAUUAUACGAGAAUGAAAAAACUCAAGCAUUAAACACCAACUUUUGUUUCAUGCUAUCAAUCAACUUGAGAAAUUUUAUAAUAUAUCGGAAGUUCUACGUCACAAUUUAAUACGAAGCCUUCGAUUAAUAAUAAUUAGACACAUGACAAUAGAUGCUAGAGAAAUUUUAAAUUCCCUCUUUUCAUUAUCCCUCCAAAUUUAGAAUUUCAAAAAAUUAGAGAAUAAAUGUUGCUUGCUCUCUUUGUUAUCUAAUUCUAAUUAUUAUUUUUUUCUCUCUCUCUCCAAUCAAGUUGCUAGCAUUUUUUAAAUCUAUUGAAGAAUAAGAAGAAGGUUUUUGUCGAUGAAAUGAUUUUGGCAGCCUUUUUUACCCAAAGCUAACAUGAUUGCUGCGACUACCAAUGAAGAAAAAGAUGUGUUUUGCUGGCGAAGAAGAUGAUUUUUGAAGCAUGAGUGGCUGCCGUUUAUUUUUUUCCUUCAUAUUUUUCGAUGUAGUGGCUGUCCUCAAGUUUUAUUCAUUUACUUUUCAGUUGGCCUACUAUUUAUUGGCAUAAUGAAAAAUUUUAUUUUAAUAAGCAUUUAUAGAUUAAUUUGAGGAGGUUUCUUUUGCAAUAUUAGUGUGGUUUCUGCAUUGGUAUGAUUUAAAUUACGAACUUGCUACAAUCUUUAAUUAAACUGUCAAAAGUAAUUUAAAAAAUCUUUAAUUAAACCGUCAAAAGUAAUUUAAAAACUGACAGUAGAUAGAUUAGAGAUAGGCUUGACAAUUUAGCCCGACUCUAUUUUUAGUCUGAUUGAUCCGAUCCUAAUUUUUAAGACUUUGGCCUGAAUUUUUUGAUUUCGGGUCGGGUUCGGGUCAAAAUUUUAAGGCCCGAACAAAUUUAGGGUCAGGGUCGGACUUAAAACCAACCCGACCCGACCCUAUUUAAAAAAAAAAAAACUAACACACGCACACAACACAUGACAGUUCACUCUCUCUAAAUCGUAAAUCACACACACAAAAUACACUUACACAAAUUCACAAAAACCCUAAGCCAGCCACCCAGCCUGCUGCCGUCCUAUCAGCCAACAUCGUGACCGUCCGCCGCACGCCAGCCAAUCAGCCGUCGUCUCGUCGUCGCAUGUCUCACCAAUCAGCCAUCGUGACCGUCUGCGACGCUGCGACAUGAACUUGAACCAGCCGCCCUUUGUCGCCGUCCUGCCGCAUCCGCCUGCCAGCCAACGAUCAAUGCACACAGUUGAAUUGUGGGGUGGGAAAUGGUUUCGAUAGGGUCGGGCUCGACCCGACCCUAACUAUAAAGAGGUAGGGCUUUUUUAGGGUCGGGUUUUAAUUUUUUGUUGAUCGGGUCGGGUCGGGUUUGGCCAAACCCGAGCCCGACCCGACGUUUUGCCAUCCCUAAUUAGAGAUGAAGAUUGGAGAGAGAGAAAAAUAUAAUUUGAAUGAGAUAAUAAAGAGAGAAGAAAUUCUAUAAUACAUCAUAAGUAAUAUAACUCAUUGAUGUAUGCAUGAUAUAUGUAAUUAACCUUAAUAUAACUAACACUUGUAUGGUGAUAUUUCAAAAUAAAUAUACAUAUGUUAUAAAAUCAUUUACUUAUUGUAUGACUGACAUUUUAUUUUUGAUGUAUUGUACAAUUUCUCAGAAGAGAGUAGUAUUUAUUAUCUCUAAUUUUUUGAAAUUCUAAAUUUUGGAAGGAUAAUAGAAAGAGAAAUUUUAAAAAUUUUUCAACGUAUAAUGCCAUGUAUCUAAUUAUUAUUAGUCGGUGUUCCACGUUAAAACGUAAUAUAGAACCUCUGGACCUUACUGUAUAAUGUACUGUAGAAUUUCCUGAUCACACACUUUCUCAGUUGCAAAAGAGGUGGGCAUAUGAGUUCCUUACGGGGAUUUAGUGUGAAUCCACGCAAAGCCCAUAUAGAUUUUUCCGGUUAACCGCUAUGGCAUCCUAGUUUUAAACUCAGUACUAAAUUUACAGAUCCAUUUAAACCCCCCAAAUCAGUCUCUCACCGUCUCAAGUCUCAAACAAAAAACCUGACCGGAACCCAAACCGCCAAAUCCGAUUCGAUGGUGGACUGUGCUAAAACCCCUAAAAUUCCAAGACUGACAUGCGGUAAAGGAGAUGGUGAUAGACUUAGCAAUCUUCCGGAGCACAUCAUUUAUCACAUAUUCUCGUUCAUGGAAACAGUUGAUGUUGUUAGAGCAAGCACUGUUUCGCGAAGAUGGAGGUACUUGUGGCUUUCCGUUCCUUAUUUGAACUUCGACUAUCACACAAUUUGGUCAGACCCGGAAAGUAGAUGGUCUCGUAGGAAAAUCAAUGAUAAGUUCAAAGAUUUUGUCAACUGGGUAAUAUUUUCUCAAAAUGGGUCUGUUAAUAUUCAAAGAUUUCGUCUUUGCUGCUGGGAUUAUUUAGCAAGUUACGAUAACGAUAGAACGAUUUACAGAUGGGUUUCUGCUAUGGCACGUCGAAACGUGCAAGUGCUUGAUCUGGCUAUAGCUUCACUAUACCCAUUUGAGUUUGACUUGCCACAUAGUCUUGUAACUUGUGAUUCAUUGGUGGAACUGAAGUUGAGUUUGAGCUUUCAUGUUCACCGAUGUUUUUUAAAGCUGCCUACUGCUGCUGGUUUUAUUGGGCUCAAGUCUCUUGAUUUACAAAGUGUUGCGUUGGAUGAUAAUUUGUUUCCUGAAUUUAUUUCAAAUCUUCCCCUGCUUGAGAAUUUGUGUAUGUUGUCAUGUGUUUUUCCUGAAUUGAAGGUUCUUGACAUUUCUUCCACUAAUUUGAAGAAUUUGGCUCUGGAAUCCAUUGUUGGCAAUGAUAAUGCUGGCAAUGAUGAUGCUGGCAAUGAUGAUGCUGGCAACUACAAGCUUAAGAUUGCUUGUCCAAAUCUUGUGUCUUUUAAUUAUAUAGCUUUAGCUCCAUGGUUACCUCACUUUGCUUUUGAGAGCUUAAACUCCUUGCAAAAUGCAUUCAUUGACCUGGAUGAUUAUAACGAGGAUGACAUGGAGAACGAAAGAUGUCAUGUUUUAUCUACAAUCUUCAAUGACUUUCGUGAAGUUAAAGUUUUGAAAUUAUCAGAAGCCAUUCUUCUCGAGGUAUGAUUUCAAAUACAUUCAUUGCACCAAAUCAUGAUUCUGCCAGAACUUGUCUACACUUUUUUAUUUUGACAUUAGAAAUGAAGCUUAAGUAAACUGAAUCUACUUUCUUUGUUUGGUAAAAUAAGAAUUCUAUUGAUUAUGGAACCUUCCUAAAUGCUAAUUUGUUCUUUAGACUGUGUAUAAGUCAUUGUGACAUUGUAUGAAGUCUCAUUUAUCUGAGUAAUCAAUUGUUAUUGAUGUCAAAGACUAGAACUCAUUGGUGACUUGAGUUUAUGUAUAUUAUCGUUUGUUAGAUUUUUUGUGUGAUUAUUGCACUUAACUUGACUAAUGUAUUCUCUUUCUUUUUGCCAUUGUUCCUCCAGGUUCUUGAUCCUGAUCCUGCUCACGAAGAACCAGCAUUUUUUUCCACUUCAUUCAAUAAUUUGAAGUCCUUAAUACUUUCUGCAGGUCCGGGUGUAUGUCUCAUGCCAUCAAUGCUUAGGUUGCUCAACUGCUCUCCAAAUCUAGAAGCUCUUGCAAUAUAUUCUCCUAAGGUAAUCUUAACACCAAAAACUAUUCCAUUUGUUAGAUACCGUCGCUUCUAUCCAUUUUUUUUAAAAAUCAUAUCUCCCAUUUAUGUGCUAAAAUUUUAAUUUUGUUAAAGUGCAACUGGGCUUUGCUUAAAUUAUCGCAAUAGAGUUGAAACCUGAAAGUAUUUGUGAUAUAUUAUGUUUACCGCUUAGAGCUUAAAGUAAAUGUUAAUCUUGUGGCCUCUUGGUUGUUCCCAUGCUAUUGCUUGUUGAGCAGAUGGUUGAAUUUAGAGUCAAUCAAUCGGUUGUGUUCUUCUGAGGUUUGUGCAAGUUUUGUAAAAGAGCAAAGUUUAGUAUUUGUUUAGUUUGUGAAAAUGAUAUAGCUUUUUCUAAUUCAUCUUACUCUAUUCUUUGCUUAAAAAUGAAUUCUCCUUUUGAUUUGAUUCCUUGACUGCAUUUCGGUCUGUUUUCUCUUGGCAGCAUCGGCGUGGAUAUAAUGCUUAUAGGAAAACACCGAACAAGGCUGCUAUUUCAUGUUUGACAAAUCAUCUCAAGACAGUUGAAAUAAAACAUUUUAGCGGUGAUAUGAAUCAACUUGAAAUUGUGAGGUUUCUUCUAAGGAAUGGACAUGUAUUGCAGAGAAUGAGUAUUAGAUGGGUGGCAGAUGUUAAGAAUCAAGGGAAGAUUAUCUCAAGGAUAAUGAAGUUUCGGAGAUCAUCUUCAAGUGUUGUGCUGAAAUUCCUAGAUCCUAAGCCAGCUGAUGAUUUUUCAGAUUAUUUAUUUGAUGAUGAGCAAAAGAACUAAAAUUAUGUUUAAAUUAAAAAAAAAAAAAGUGGUUUAAGUGUAUGUUCGAAUUAAAUAGUCUUUUGGAUUUGUAGAAACUGAAAGGAGUACAGUGCCAGUCACUGUGGCAGCCUUAUGUUUUGUUUGAAAAAAUUCGGAAGCUUCUAAAUUGUUAUAUACCUCAAUUCUGAAGUCGUUAGUAUGUAUAUUAUAAGCAAUACAUAUGUUCCAUUUGUCAUAUUUUAUUUUGGCAUUACGAUUGUUUUGUCUUGAUUAAUAUUGAUUAUAAUUUGUUUAACAUUUAUCUGGCAUAUGUAGAAUUAUACUUUAUCUGAGUAGAUGACGCUGCUGCGUACAUCUUCAGGACUCGGUCAUAAACUGUUUAUCUCUGCGUCUGUCUAGCAUCCAUCCACGUAUGACCUGUCGGCUUUUUGCCCGCAAGCAUACAGUUAGGGGUGGUAAAAAUAUCUGUCCGGUCUGGAUUCGGUUCGCACCCGGAUGUUUUAUCCGGCCCGGUCUUGGGCAUCAUUUGAUAAAUUCGGAACCCGAGUUUUAUUAAGCGCCUUGGCCGUACAGCAGUAUAUUAUUUUAAAUAUUUAUAUUUAUUUGACUCAUUUAUUACAUAUAUAUAAAGUUUUAGACACUUAAAGUUUAUAUUUUCAUGUCAAAUUUCAUUAAAAUAAAUUUAAAACUUAUAAAAUUACCAAAAAAUAAAAAAUAUAUACAUAUAUAAUAUUAAAAAAUAUAAAAUCUGGGUACCCAAAUUAAAACCCGGCACAAUCCGACCCAGGCAUCUAUGCAUCCGGGUCGGGUCCGGUCAUUACGAUACCCCGACCCAGCCCAGGGUUUUGCCAUCCCUACAUGCAGUGUAUAUGAAUUGCAGUUCUUGUACGGACAACAUGUCAUCCAUAAAACUCGAGUUAUGUUCUUUUUAAUCUUUAGUUUAGAUUACAUUUUGCAAAACUAAUAAACGAUAGAGCUCCUAGCAAGGUCAAUAGUUAACUGCGAAUCCAGAAGAUCGGAAUGCUAUACCUUUCAAACAUGCAUUUCAAAGCCAUCUGCGGAAAUGGAAAACAAGCAUUUCAAACUCGUUGUUAAAACAAUGAUAAAAGUAAUUUUAAUCCUAAUUUUUAAUUCCAGGCAUGAAGCUAACUCAUAUACAAAGAGAUAUCAAGUAAGCAGAGGCGAAAGCUAAAAGCUUUGGUUACAGGGGUCGGUGUGAAUAAUGUAUAUAUCGUUUAGACAUAUUUUUGAAUAUCUAUUUUAAUUUAGGGGAUAUUAUAUAUAUUUAAAAAAAAUUAAAAUUUUUACGGGAGCCAUGGCUUACUAUAGUCUCCAUUAAGAUUCACCCUCCCUACUUUUCGUACUUCAUUAAAGUAUAGGAUAAAUAUUUACAAUAUUAUAAAUAGAUUUUAUAAAAGCAGUCCAUAUAUGAAAGUCCUUCUGCACUCUGAAUUAAAUAAAAAUAACGUGAGACUAACAAUUUAAGAGUCUUUUUUGCAACGUAUAUCGUGCAGUGAUGUACUCUAUCGACGGAGGACUCUCUUCAUAUGCUUUUUAUUUUUCCAUGCCUGAUUAUAAAUAGGAUCACUCUAUGUUACAUUAAACGUAACGUACACACACUCACAACAACAGUAACAAGUCCCAUCAUUAGAACUGUUGCUGUGAGUGCGUGUAUGUUACGUUUAACGUAACAUAUCACUAGCCUUAUAAAUAACAUCACUUUUAAGGAUUUUUACAAAUUUUUAUUACAACCGUAACUUUUGUCCUCAUACAAUAACGGUGUCCAUUGUCCACAUAUAAAAAGUUCAUCAAUAAACAUAUAACCUAAUUAAAAUUCGUGACAAAAUCCAAAGGAAAGAAAGCGUGGAGUAAUAUAUAUAACAAAGGCAUUGAGCAUACACCAGGUGUAAUUUGCAUUGCAUGGCCACCCUUACGUGGCAGUUCCGCCGAUUAACACAUCUUUAAAAGUUAAAGCCCCCCUCUCUCCUUGUUAAGGGCGUUUCAACACAACACUCAUCAAUGCAAGCAAAGAGACAGUGAAGGAAAAAUUAAGAAACCAAUAUUGUCACUUGGAAGAAAGAAACAAUCAUUACAUAUAUAAUACGAUGGAUACUAAGAACAACAGGAAGCAUUUGUCCUGCAUUGCCAACGACGUCGUUCACAGAUGUGCACUGUACGUAUCUCUCUCUCUCUCUCUCUCUCCUUUUCUUUUUCUCCCCGAUCACUUUGUUUUCUUUAUAUAUACGAAUGUAUGUAGAACGUAGUAGGUUUUGUAUAAAUAUCUGUUGCACACAUUAUUUGAUGUGCAUUUAAAUAUAAUUAAUGGUAAUUGAGAUGACACACAAAGACAAUGCAAAAAAAGAAAAAAAAAGAGAGAGUAAAUUAAUGAAUUUGCCUUGAUCCAGUUAAUUUGUGUGCAUUUAGCUGACUGUAAGGUGGUUUCGAGUGUGUUUUUGUUUGGCAACUUUUCACACAAAAGCACUUUUGGGAAGCACUUUAUGUAAUGUAAGUGCCUCUAAAAACUGUUUUAUGUAUUACUGCCAAAUGCAGUGCAGAGGUUACAAUGGGAGGGUCGGUUUUAUACCUGUUCUUCGAGACUUAAUUUCAAUAGGAGAUUGAAAUAUUUAUGAGAAUUAUGUUGUUAGCAGACUUAAUUCUUUUGGAGGAAUUCAUUCCAUCGUAGACCACUCAAUGAAUUUGGUCGAUUGAGAUUAUUUGAGUGCAUGCUUCAAAACUGGAGCAUUAAUUCUUUGACAUAAAUGGGCUUUAACAUAAGGCGCGUUCGCUUAUUCCAUUUAUUCAAGAAGUUGGCACUCAAUUUUUUAUUACUAGCCUUUAGAUGGCCAGCAGCCUUUUGUAGCCCUUUCUAGUUUCUACUAAAGUGGUUAUGUGCAAUAGUUCUAUUCUGGGUUGCAAAAUUAUUGUGUCAGUAGAAUCCACAUACAUUAUGUACUUUUCUGUAUUUAAUUUCAAGAGGCUUAGUUAUAUCAUAGUUUUAGGAUUAUAAUAAGUCUGUCCGUUACCAUGUUAUUGGAAUUUUUUUUUUUUUCUAAAUUAGUUGGACACAUUAUUGGAUUGGUCAAUAAAGGAAAGCAUUUGGCAAGUACUUGGUUUGAUAUUAACAUAUAGUUGCAGUAAAGCACAUUAACUUGUGCAUCCUGAAAUUCUUGCAGGCAAGUAAAGGCUUCUGAGGAUUCAUUGGUGGAGGGGUUUGAAGCUGAAUGGAAGCCUGAAAUCGGACAGUAUUCGAAGAAAUUUGUGGAAUAUUGCAGCAUAAAGGCUCUUACUAACAUGUGCCAGAGCAUAGAAGAAAAGAUUAGUGAUGGAUCAUUUAGUCGACUCACAUUUGAUAUGAUGCUUGCCUGGGAAAUGCCUAGUGCCGCCGAUGAGGAGUCUCAUACUGUAAGCAAUCAUCAUAAUACUCAUAUCCUAUAUUUAUUUCAUGGUCCACCAAAUCAUUAUGAUAUUAUCCCAAUUUUGGUGUGCCUAUCUUCUCUUCAAGUUGCUUCUUCUAUUUCUU